rnacentral:lncRNA from 1 species
UCACUAUUUCGUCCUUUUAUUAUAAUUUUUAUCCUGAAUAUUUUUGAAAAUUAUAGAAGUAUAUUAAAAAAAUAUAUUUUUUAUAAAAUAAGUAAGAAUAAUUUGAUCAUUUUGUCUUCUUAAUUAAUGCUGUAACUCUUUAAAAAUAAUAAAUUUUAAAAGUUAGAAAAAAAAGUAAAAAAAAAUAUUUAUCGAGAAAUUUUCUAUAUUAUAGUUUUCGUUUUUAUUUUUAUUUUUUUAUUCAACUCCAUGUGGCACCAACUCUAUUGGGCAGUUAUAAUUGCAUAUAAAUAGAAAUUCGGUGUUUGGUUUGAUAUAUUUAACUCCAACUGCUGCAAUAAGAAUUAUAGGAGAAUGCCUAACUACAGCAAUUGAAACUGUGUCUAAAUUGGCCCCAAUUCCAACUGCAAAAGUUGGAGAGAGCACUUUUUUAAGAAAAAGAUAAGCUUAUUUCCCUAAUUAUUUUUGAAAUAAAAAAUAUUUUAUUUUUCUACAUUAAAGAUAAUCUUAUUAUCGUAUAUAUAAAAUGAUAAAAUUUUAAAAUUUAUUUCGUAAUUAUAUGCAUCCAAACAAAUCUAUUACUAUAUAUAAAAGUAGAACCCUUAAUGAACCCUAUGUGAGAAACUGACACGUGGCUUUCUAUAUGUUUGCCACGUGUCAAUCUCAAAUAUGGAUAUUUAAAUUAUUAUUUAAUUAAUGAAAUACGUAAUUUCGUAUUAGCAGAUAAUUAAUUAUUUAAAAUUAUUGGUUGCGAAAUAAGCAAUAAUCUGUUGCGAAUUAUUUGAAAUGGUUAGUUGCGAAAAAAAGGGUCAAACUUAAAUUUCGUAUCUAUCUAUCUAUCUAUUACUAUAUAUAAAAGUAGAACCCUUAAUGAACCCUACGUGAGAAGCUGACACGUGGCUUUCUAUAUGCUUGCCACGUGUCAAACUCAAAUAUGAAUAUUUGGUGACGAACUAUUUAAAAUUAUUAGUUUAAUUAAUUAUUUAACUCAAAUAUGAAUAUUUGGUUACGAACUAUUUAAAAUUAUUAGUUUAAUUAAUUAUUUAACUCAAAUAUGAAUAUUUGGUUAUGAACUAUUUAAAAUUAUUAGUUUAAUUAAUUAUUUAAAAUUAUUGAGAACCCUUAAUGAACCCUACGUGAUAAGCUGACUCUAAUUUGUGUCAAUUUUUAAAAUGACUUAUUUACCCUCAAAUAUCUUUUAACUAAAAAUGUAUGGAAACCCCCUCAACUAUAUGCCAUUUUGAAAUAGCUCCCUCAACUUUCAUUUUUUAGUUGAUAUCCCAUUAACUUUUUAUUUAAAAAAAAAAAACCUAAUUUCAGUGUAUAAAAAAAAAAGAAUUUUUUAGUUUUUUUUGAUGAUUUUACCAAAUUUAAUGGCUCUAUUUAUUUUUUAUCAAAUAAAUAACUAUUUUAUAUAAAUGAAAAUAAUGUUAAGGAAUUAUCCGAUCUUUCUUUAAUCUUGAAAACUUAAAAUUUUUUUUAAUCAAAAUUAUUCUCGAUAAUUUUAUCUGCAUUAAGUGUAUUAAAAAACUGAAAUAUUAUAUAUUUUAGCUUUUGAACAAAACUCUCUUUUUAUUUCAAUCGACAAAACAAUUAUGUGAUUUAUUUUUAAAUAGGAAAAAAAUAAAAUCUAUAAUUUAUUUCAAAAUUACUAUUACUAAUUACUGAAUAUUAGAUUACUAUUAUACAAAGUAGAACCUUAAUGAAACUCAACGUGAGAAGCUGGACACGUGGCUUUCUAUAGUGCCUUGGCCACGUGUCAACUCAAAUAUGAAUAUUUGGUGACGACUAUUUAAAAUUAUUAGUUUAAUUAAUAUUUAACUCAAAUAUGAAUAUUUGGUUACGAACUAUUUAAAAUUAUUAGUUUAUAUUAAUUAUUUAUAAAUUAUUGAGAACCCUUAAUGAACCCUAACGUGAUAACUGACUCUAAUUUGUGUCAAUUUUUAAAAUGACUUAUACCCCUCAAUAUCUUUUAACUAAAAAUGUAUGGAAAACCCCUCAACAAUAUAUGCCAUUUUGAAAUAGCUCCCUUCAACUUUCAUUUUUUAGUUGAUAUCCCAAUUAAUUUUAUUUAAAAAAAAAAAAACAUAAUUUCAGUGUAUAAAAAAAAAGAAUUUUUUUAGUUUUUUUUGAUGAUUUUACCAAAUUUAAUGGCUCUAUUUAUUUUUUAUCAAAUAAAUAACUAUUUUUAUAUAAAUGAAAAUAAUGUAUAGGAAUUAUCCGAUCUUUCUUUAAUCUUGAAAACUUAAAAUUUUUUUAAUCAAAAUUAUUCUCGAUAUAUUUUAUCUGCAUUAAGUUAUUAAAAAACUGAAAUAUUAUAUAUUUUAGCUUUUGAACAAACUCUCUUUUAUUUCAAUCGACAAACAAUAUUAUGUGAUUUAUUUUUAAAUAAGGAAAAAAUAAAUCUAUAAUUAUAUUCAAAAUUACUAUUACUAAUUUAGGAAUGUGAAUUGACAUAGAUACGGAAUUUUAUCUAAACUCAAUUUAAAAUGGAUAAGUUUAAUCAAAUGCUGAAUAGGAUAGUUUUAGUUAAUAAGUACCAAAAAUAAAAUCCGCGUCGUAUGUAAAUUUAUUAUAGUUUUGGUCUUAAUUUAAACCGAAUCUAAACUGAAACGCCAAAACCAAAACAAAACCAAAAUCAGAUAAAACUACUAUAUUUAAAUACAAUUUUUAUAUAUUUUUAUUAAUUAAAUAUAUUAAUAAUUUAAUUUACUAUUUAUAUAUUAAAUACUCAAAUUUAGAUUACAAAAAAUUAUUUUGAAAUACCUAUUAGUAUUUCUACUAUUAAAAAGAGAUAAAGGGUAAAUUGGUAUUUAAAAUUUUAACUCCCGAUUCAAAUGGGCUUUAACGGAUCUUAACUAGAGGAGGGUAUUUAUGAUAAUUUUUCACAUUUUGGAGGGCAUUUGUGAUAUUAUUAAUUUUGGAAGGGUAUUGAUAAAAUUAAUAGUUCCUAGAGGGGCAUCUAUGAAAUUAUCCCUAAUUUUUAUUAUUCUAUAUUAUUAUAUUAGCCGUGCAUCGCACGGGUGAAAAUCUAGUUAUUUAUAAUUACAACGCUUUCUAUUACAUCAAACCAAAUAUGACAUAUAUAAUUACAACUGCUGUAUUUCUAAUAAUUAUAUAUAUUUUCAACUAUACUGUAUUUAUAAUUACAUAUAAUCAAAUCCCCAAGGGGCGGAAAUUAACGCGAUAGGAGCGCGCAAACACACACCCCUCAAUCACUACUGCUGCUGCUGCUACUAGUACAAGGAGCAGCAGCAGGAGUAACAGUAGUAGUAUGAAGCUCUCCGCCAUUAGUCUCGUUCUGUGGUGGUGGGCGGCGGCGGCGUCGGCGUCGGCGCCGGAGGCGGUGGCGGUGGUGCACCAGCUGCGGCCGGCGGUGGGGUGGGGGGCGCAGCUGGUGCGGGAGAAGGGGGAGGGGGUGAUCACGUGCGGGAGCUGGCGCGUGGGGGUGGAGGCCAACAACGUGCGCGGGUGGCGCACCAUCCCCGCCGCCUGCGAGGGCUACGUCGGCCACUACAUGCUCGGCGACCGCUACCGCCAGGACUCCAUCGUCGUCGCCAUCGAGGCCGCCGCCCACGCCGCCGCCCUCCGCCUCGCCGGCAACGGCAGCGACGUCUGGGUCUUCGACGUCGACGAGACCGCCCUCUCCAACCUCCCCUACUACGCCCGCCACGGCUUCGGGUAAGUUAGUUAAUAUAGGAUAAACUACACUACUAGAUCUACUCUGUGAUUUAAAAUAUAUAAAUUUAAGAUGCUGGUUUUUUUUUUUUUUUUUUUUUUUUUUUUUUUUUUUUANNNNNNNNNNNNNNNNNNNNNNNNAAUUGUUUCAUCGUAAUUAUAUAUAUUUUCUUACUAUGCCAUUAACACCCCAUCUGCGUCGCAAUAUAUAAUUACUCUUUUGAAAUUUAUUAUGACAACACCAAAGCAUGAAAAAAAUAAAAUUAUAAUACACUAAAUUUCAUAUAGUAAAAAUAUAGUAUACUAAAUUAAAUAAUAAUAAUAAAAAAAUUAUUAAAAAAAAUAAUUUUAUCACUAUUUCAAUUUUUAUUUUUUUAUGAUUUUACUUAUAAGUUAUUUAAUAUCUAAUCUAUAGAUUUUAAAAAAGAUGUAUUAAAUUACUUGUUAAUUGCCUAUUUUUUUUGGGUAAAUUUGAUUUUGCCCUUUUGUGGUUGAACUCAUUGUUACUAAUUUAUCGGAAAAUUUUGCAGCCAAAUAAAAUAGGUGAUAGUUUCUUGUAUUAACAUAAAAAUAAAAUUAUAAAAUAGUUAAAUAUAACGUAUUGAUCUACGUGAUGGAAAAAUAAAAAUACGCUCAACCACAUGAUAAUUUAGUGCAGCUUUUUUAACCACAUAGAGGUAAAUUAAAAUUCAUUCUUUCUUUUUUAAUUAAAAAAUCAAAGAGACUCUUCAAAUUAUUGAAUUAUGAAUUAUAAAAAUUACAAUUAUUUUUGAUUGUAGGCUUAAUUAAGUAGCAUUUCUUGUAGUUUUAAUAUGAGAAAUGUUAACUAUACAACCCAAAAAAUGUGUGAUCCUGAAAUCCCUUCGUCCAAAGAGUUGAAUAUUUUGUUUAAGAGAAUUAAUGUCUAAACAAUCUUUUCCGAAUUACAGCAUUUAAAACAAUACAACUAAAAAGAUAAGUAGAAAACCUUAGCCCUUGAUGGGCCUACGACCAAUAGUUAGUUGUAAUCUUACCAUAUUCGUCUACUAAUUUUAUCAUCUAUUUUUUUAUUACUAAAAUUUAAAAAUAUAUAUUUGCAACUCUAGAAAAUUAAGGAUUGUAAAUUUGUAAUAUUACCAUCCUUUUCUUUUCUUUAUUUUUUUGAGAGAGAAAGGUAGCAUGCUAUCCGCAUCGUUUAUUUCACUUAGAAAUAAACUUAGCUGGAAAUGUGAAUCAACUAGGAUUCGAACUUGGGUCUCGGGUACCAACCACCAAGCUCUUUUGCCACUUGCGCUGGGGACGGUCAGUAUCUUUUUUGAAUUACAAGCUUAGAAUUUCUCCUUUAUAUUCUACAUAAUCAAUAUGCUGCCAUUUUCAACAUGAAUAAGACUUUAUUCUUUUGAGAGAAACAUGAAUAAGACUUUGAUUUGAUCGCCUACUAACUUUGCAAAUGUGAAGGAAAUAUUUUGGUGAUCUCGACAGAGAUAUGCUUUAGAUGCUCCACAAUAAUAUACUUAUAGCGUGACACAUGUGGUGUAGAAAAUUUUAGCUGGCUCAUAAACAUAACUAAACGUGUAAUAUAUAGUUUUAUCACCACAUUAUAAUAAUAUACAACGACGAUAUUAAUUAUGAAGGGCUUGUGAGAUUAUUCAGGGACCUAAAGUUUUUUCAAUAAUUUACGAAUCUUCCACUUGUAUACCGGAUGUAAUGUAUGGAUGUGCUAAUUAAUUAUUCCCAUUUUCAAUAAAUUUGAUCCUAUACUUUUGAUUUAAACACUUUUAAAAUUCUUUUUUAUGUAAAUAAUAUAUGGCUAGAGUAAGUAGUUCUAUAGGAUUCUUGCAUAAACAUGCAUGCUUCGUGAAUUUUAUUCUUUUUCUCAAAGAGGAAAUCCAAUUACAGCAUCAGAACGUUUUGAACUUUUUGAUAAACCUUUUGAUUACUAAAUUUGGUGCUGGGAGAUGAAUAUUUCACAAAAUAAUUGCAUGCCAUGACAAAAAGGACCUUCUUUGUUUGGCGUAUGUUGAGGCUCAAUUAUUAUUGGCCAAUUUGUAUAAAAAUCCUACAAGUUUUGAUUUUUUAUAAAAUUGGACUAUCUUUUUCGAUUUUGCAGAUUCGGACCGAAUUUUUAGAAGACUGACUAAAAUACCAUUAUUCCUUUUCCACUCUUUUUUGUUUCUCAUUCUUUUUUUCCCCUCUCCGAAAAGAAAGGCGGAGGUGGAGGCGACCGCCUUGCCUCUGCCCCCCGCAUCCGCACCCGCAUCCGUGCACCACCCACCCUCCUCGCCUCCGACUCCACCAAAAGCUGUUUUUGCCGCCGCCCUUUGGGACGGCCCUCCUCGCUCCGCCCCACGGGUUCUGAACCCCGCUCACUCACCCCCCGCUCUUCUCGCGUUCGACCCUACCUAGACUACACCGUGAUCCUCUUUUUUUUUUUUUUUUUUUUUCGAAACCUCCUCCACCGCAUCUGCGGUCCUUUGCGACCUACCUUCACUACAGCAGGUUUUUCACCCACCAAACCCAUUUUUGGAAACAUGUCGUCCUCACCACUACCGCUGACGACAAAAAGGAAGCGCUUCUCGGCUCCAAAAAGCUCGCAGGCGAAGGAGGGGGCAUGCGACCCACAACGCUCAUCCGAAGCCGACGAGCGAGGUGGAGACAGAGGAGAGCGUGACAACGCCGGAAAAAAGAGUGGGACUGCGGUGAGCGCGGCGUCCCAGAAGGCAGUGGCGAGCGCAGCCUCGACGUGGACGAAAGCGAAGAAGGCGGGGGUGCACGGGAGCAUUUCUUGUCAAGUAUUUUUGUUUACUUAAAAUAAAAAAAUAUAAAAAUAAAAAAUUAAAGAAUAAGGAAGAAGAAGAUGAAGUUGCAUUAAAAUAAAGUUACACUAUUUAAAAGAACGUUACACUAUUGUAGACGUAAGUUGUACUCUUGAAAUAUAAACUGUACCUUUUAAUAUGAAAGUUACACUCUUUAAAUGAAUGUUACACUAUUUAGAAGAUAGUUACACUAUUUAUCCUCUCAAAGAGCACCCUUUUAAUAUAUAAAUUACACUGUUUAAACAAAAAUUGUACUAUUUAAAAUAUAGUUAUACUAUUUUUCCUCGCAAAGAGCACUCUUUAAUAUAAAAAUUAUAUUUUUUAAACGAAAAUUACCCUAUUUAAUUAAGAGAUAAUUACACUAUUUCUUCUCCCAAUGAGUGCAAUUUUUAUUUAAAGAGUGUAACUUUUAUUUUAAAUGGUCUAGUUUAUAUCUUAAAAAGUCCAACUUACAUUUAUAUAGUGUAACGUUCUUUUAAAAUAGUGUAACUUUAUUUUAACAGUGCAACUUCAUUUUUUUUUUCCUCAUUCUCUAGUUUUUUUAUUUUUAGUUAUUUUUUUUAUUUUAAGCAAAUAAAAAUAUUUGACUAGAGAUGCUCCCGUGCACCCCCCCUCCCAACUUCCUCGCCUUUGACCCCACCGAGGACGCGCUUGCCGCUGCUCUCUAGAAAGCCGCGCUCGCAGCCACCCCACCAUCUUUUUAGGUGUCUUCAUACUCUCCUUCGUCUCCACCUCGCUCGUCAUCGGCCCUAGAUGGGCGCGGUGGGUCACGUGUCUCCUCACUCGCCAGUGAGCUUCUUAGCGCUGAGAAGCGCUUCCUUUUCGUCGUCAGUGGCGGUGGUGAGGACGGCGGAUUUACAGAAGUGGGUUUGGUGUGUGAAAAAUUUGCUGCAAUAGAGGUAGAGGUGGAGGUCGGUCGCAAAGAUCCACGGAGGCGGUGGAGGAGGUUUGGAGAGAAAAAAAAGAGGAUCACAACGUAGCCUUGGUAGGGUCAGAGGAAAGGAGAGGGUGGGUGAGCGGGCGCGAUCGAGGGCGCAUAGGGUGGAAGUGAGGAAGGAUGUCCCAAAGGGUGGUGGCGAGCGUAGCCUUGGUGGGGUUGGAGGCAAGGAGGGUGGGUGGUGAGCGGACACGGGCGAAGGCGCGGGGGGCAAAGGUGAGGCGGAUCACCUCCGCCUCUGCCGCUCUCUUUGGAGAGGAAAAAAAAAAAAACGAGAGAAGAAAAAAAAAAAGAAAAAGAGAGAAAGGAAUAAGGGUAUUUUAAACAAUUUUUUAAAAAUUCGACCCAAAGCUGCAAAAUCGAAAAAAACUGGCCAGUUUUGCAAAAGUUCCAAACUUGUAGAUUUUUUUACAAAUUGACCAUUGUUAUUUAAGAGCAUUGUAUAUUGGCAGCGCAUCCUUUUAUUUUAAUUGCUAAAUGUUUAGAUCUAUUAAAUUAAACUAUUGGUUAGUCAACGAGAUAGUUCUAUAAAUUAUUAUUGAUAAAGUGUGACAGUACCUAUUCAUGAAAGCUGACCACUGCUAAUGUUUGGCCAUACUUGCGUUGUAAAUUCAAUAAAAUAAAUUCUCUGCCAAAAUAUACUAACUUAUACAAAAACAUUAUUGAAUCUACAGUAUCUAUAUUUUUUAAAACUUAAAAUCUCUCAAACAAUUAAUUUUUUUCUGCCAGUUAUUUCAUAUUUACAAUCUGGUUUUAUACUAGGGAUUUAUCAAAUAAGAAACAUAAAAGUGUGUUCCGGCAUCUGAAAAAAUCAAAAUCUUUCAAAUUUGAACUACCCUAGGUUAAACAUAUAACUUCUGUUUUUCUUUAAGAAAGAUAAAUAAUUAUGCUUCGAACUUGAAUUUUCAAAUAUUAGCCAUUAAAUUUUUAAUCAACUGUGCUGAUCAUUGCGGUGAAUGUUAAGUGUGUAACUUUUGAAUUUAACUUCCGUAGGGUAGAGCCCUUCAAUCCCACAUUGUCCAAUGCGUGGGUGAACGAGGGAGCUGCGCCUGCGCUACCGGAGAGCCUGAAUCUCUACAAGAAGCUGCUCUCCCUCGGCAUCAAGAUCGUCUUCCUCACCGGUCGGACCGAGAACCAGAGGGACGUCACUGCACGAAACUUAAAGCGAGCCGGAUACCACACCUGGGAAAAACUCGUGCUCAAGUACUGCAUUUAUUUGUUUAUUACCCCUUCAUCGUCUCCCAGUUGAGAAACUUACGAUUUACACACAAACCUCUGCGAGAUUUGCUCCGGGCUAGUAAGUUUCAUUUUCGUAAAAACAUAUAAACAUCGUUUUCUAAUAAUUUAAAUUCAUAGUACCAUAGUAGAGUAGGAGAUUUUCAAUUUGAGUCAUGUCAGAUUUCUAACAUUAUUAAUUUUUUUCUUAUUUAAUUUAAAUUUAUAUAAAAAAUUAUUUAAUUUUAAUUCUUACAAAAAAAAAAAAAGAAAAAAAGCGAGGUUUCAAAUAUUCCUGUCAGGCUGGGCCAAGCCAGCGGGAUCAAAGAUUUUCUCGAUUAGUCGUCUCAGAUCAGAGCAGUUAGAUCGUAGGCUGGAUUUGUUCAGCUCUAAUUACAGAGCACGGCUUUUUUUGCAACUCUUCUUUUUAAGUUUUUUUUUUUUUUUUUAUAAAAAUAAUUGCCUAUAUACCCCUCAAAGUUUUAAAAAUAUCUCAUUUAUUUUCUCUUUUUUUUUUUCUUUUUAAUAUAUCCUUCAUAUUUUCUCUGUUAUUGUAAAAUAUUCCUACAGUUGUCAUCCGCUAAAUUUUUUUUUUGAGAAAGAGAUAGCAUGCUACCCGCUUCAUUCAUUGGACUGAUGAAUUAGACUAUAAUUGUGAAGCAACCAGGCCCCGAAGAACAAUUAAAAAUAAAAAGAAGAAGAAGAAGAAGAAGAAGUAGUAGUAGUUACGAAACGAGGGGAAGGUCCCACUCCUCCGUUAGAAGUUUGAAUUUGCGAACCGCUAGCUCGGGGUUAGGGAUAAUAUUCUGAAAGAUCGUGUCGUUUCUAAUCUUCCACACAAUCCACCAGCAGCCUACUAGGUCUGUAAGUUAUCAUCCGCUAAGUUAACUUGAGUUAAAAAUUUACUAGAAUUAAAAAAAUUCAAAACAUUUAUUUUGCCAUUAACUUAAGGACAAAUAAGAAAUAUUGGUAAUAGUAGAAUGGUAUAUUUGAAAAGACCAAAAAUCAAAAUACUUUUGUACCCCUAAUCAGGAUAAAUGUGAAAAGUCGGUGAAGAUUAUGGAAAGAUAUAUUUGAAAGGACAAAUUAGUAAUUUUAUAUAGAUAAGCUAAUCGUUCAUUAACGAAAUUUAACUCUAUAAAAAUAUAUUUGAAAUAGUCGGAACGUAAAAAAAGUAUUUUCAACAUUAACUUUUUAAGACGGAUAUAUUAAAAAAUCGAAAUUUUUUUAUGAAUAUGUAAGCAAUCACCCCUUUCUUAUAUUAUUAUUGCAAACUAUUUUUGGGUGCAGAGGAGACGGAGACAAGAGAUCGGCCGUGUCGUACAAAUCCGGAGAGAGGCAGAAGCUGGAAAAUGAAGGAUACAACAUAGUCGGAAACAUCGGAGAUCAGUGGAGCGAUAUCUUAGGCCAACCCGAGGGUAACCGCACCUUCAAGCUCCCUGAUCCCAUGUAUUAUAUCGGUUAAUUAUUGAUUAGUGAGGUUGAUUACUUCGUAAUUUUCUCUCUCUAAGCUAGGCUUGGCUAUGUAUGUGUUUUAGUUUAUCCUAAUAAAGAGGGGUAAUUUAGUGUUUUAAUUAUGAAGGAAUUGUGGCAUGGACCUUGCUUCUUGAAUAAGUUGGAUGACACCUCCUUUGCUUGUUUUGUCGAUCGCCUUGGUAAUUAAUUUUAUUUACAACCAUCAUUUUGGUACUUCAAAGAAUUAAUGAUGGUUGUUUUACACUCCUUGAGUUUGAUUUUUAUACCAUUUAUUUUAUGAUUCAUAUUUUCAUCUAUAAGAUUGAUCUUUUAAAUAACAUAUUAAUCAACCGCAUAUACAUUUAUAUGAUAGGUUAAGGUGCCCUUCCUUCUAUUGCAGUCCCAAAACCAAACAUUUACCUAGAUUCUACCGCCACUAAUUACCAGAACAAAACACCGAAAUAUAAGUGUUUUAAUUUAUUGCAUGUAUACACAGCUACAAACGUACCAGAUCACAAACAUUCGCACAAAGUUGAUAAUUAGAUUCCUAGAUUAUCUAUACAAAAAUUUCGAGAUUUAUGAUAGAUACCCGUGGCAACAAAUGCGUGCAAUUAAAUAGACAAGAGCUCAAUCAAUCGGGCGGUGCCUCAUAAUAAAAUACCAACUUUGCGCAAAUACUUACAUAGAACUUAAAUAUUUCUCAUAUAUAUAUAUAUAUAUAUAUAUAUAUAUAUAUAGCAGGACUGCUGUGCUCUUAGGAGCACAGAGGCUUCCGUGCUCCUGAGUUAUUUUUGAUGAUGGAGUUUUCGAAUCGACGAUCGGCUCCGUUAGACUUGAUCUAACGUAUUUGAAGUUUCUAGAAAAUAAUUUUUGCAAUUUUUCAAUAUCAUUUACUUAGCAAUCGAAUGGAUUCAAAAUCAAUAAUUUUCAACGGCUAAAAAUAAAAAUCUUAUAAAAAGUGGUGAUAUAGUACUAAAAUUUUCGAUCAAAAAUAUUGAUCCUGUUGUACAUAGUAUAAAGAAUUUUGUAUCAAAAUUUCAUCUGAUUUGAAUACUUCUACAUCGUUAAACUUGAAAACGGCAGAUAUUAAUCAUUAAAAAUUAUUGAUUUUAAAUUUUUUCGAUCACUAAGUAAAUAAUAUCGAAAAAUCGCAAAAAUUAUUUUCUAGAAACUUAAAAUACCCUAGAUCAAGUCUAACGGAGCCGAUCGUCGAUUCGGAAAUUUCAUCAUCGAAAACAGCUCAGGAGCACGGAAACCUCCGUGCUCCUGCUAGCACAGCAGCCCUGCUCUAUAUAUAUAACCCCUAAAAAAAAGGAAAAAUCAAAAUUCAAAAUAAAUGCCUUUCAAUGUGUGUUGUAGAUUACCAACACAACUCGAAUCACAAUCACUCCAAUUUAAUGAAUCCACGAACGACCCGGCACUUCCUCACGGAACCGGGAUCGGCAGCGUAGUGCUGAGCGUAAACGGGAUUCCGGGGAUCCCGACUCCGACCCGAAGUCCGCUUCCGCCGCAGCCCGCGGGGCGCGUCCGCAAGCAGCUGAGGCCGGCUCCGGGCCCCGACCCGGGGCACUCCGGCGGCGGCCUCUGCAUGCCGCGCCCCGGAAUGCAGUUCCCGGCGAAGUCGAACCCCACGUUCCGUAUCAGGAGCUCCCUCGUGCAAUCCGCUCCGAACCCGGAGAAAAAGUUGAACGAGACGCUCAGGUUCGCGAGGCUCCUCAGCUCGCACAGUAUGUCCGGGAGCUCCCCGGUCAACCCGUUGUGCGCGACGUUGAGCACCUCGAUGCCGCUCAAGCAGGAGAGCGUGCUCGGGAUGUCGCCGCCGAGGGAGUUGAAGCUCAGGUCCAGGACCUCGACCUCGGCUAGGAACCCGACCCCCUCGGGGAUGCAGCCCGUGAGCCUGUUGUUGAGGAAGAGCAGCUCCCUGAUCCCGGAGCUGUAGCCGAAGCUCGCCGGGAUGGGGCCCGUGAGGUUGUUGUUGGCGAGGGUGAUCACGGAGGCAGGGGAGGCCCAGAGGGACGCCGGGAUCUGGCCCUCGAACUGGUUGUUGUUGAGGAAGAUGGCGUCGAGCUGCUUCUGGAAGAGCGCUUCCGGGAGCUCCCCGGAGAAGCUGUUGAACCGGAGGUCGAGGUAGAUGAGCCCCGGGAUGAGGAGGGUCGGCGCGGGGAAGGGCCCUGCGAGGAGGUUGCUGCUCAGGUCCAGCUCCGUCAAGUACUGCAGAUCUUUGAAGCUCUCCGGGACCGUUCCUUGGAACCUGUUGGAGUUGAGGUGGAUGAAGUUGAGGUGGGUGAGGAGGGAGAGCUCUCUUACCAAGUAACCCCCGAGGUUCGCCCCGUUCAGAUCUAUGCCCGCGACGACGCUGGGGGAGAAGUGGGGGGAUUCUUCAGGGGGUUCUGAGCAAAAGACUCCUCUGUAGGAGCAAACGUUGGGCCCGACCCAGGAGGCUAAAAUGCCGUACGGGUCUUCGGUUAUCGCCUGUUUCCAUGCUUGGAGAGCUGCGAACUCGGUGGCCAUGGGGCUAGGGUUUUGAGGGUCCGGUGGUGUUUGGGUGGAGGACGAGGAGGAGGAGGAGGAGGUGGGGGUGGUUCCCCUUCCAUUGAUCCAAACCCCAACUCCACCGCCGACGCCAAUGUAGGCUAAGGCACUGGGAGAGGAGAGGUGGAGGGAGGAGAAGAGGAGUAGGAAGAAGCCAAUGCCCUGCAUCAUCUUGGGAAUGAGAUCGAUGAGGAGCGGUGCUGCUUUUUCGAAGAUGCCUUUUGAGGACUUUGGUUCGCUCCUCUGCGUGAGUGGUAUUGAUGAGAAUGUGGUGGUUUGAUGAGUACUUAAUUGCCUCAUAUACCUCAUAACUAAUGCGCCUUGAUUGAUUAGUGUCGAUAAGCCAAUUUUGUCACUAUAAUAACUAACUAACUUAGUAAAAUCUAGUGCUGUUCUACUUCUGGCUUCACCAGGUGUUAUCUUAAUUUGUUGUGGAAGCUAAAACUUAGGCUCCAAGGCUCAAAUGCAAAAGUUUUUAUUUGAAACUUGUAAGUCUACAACAUGUAGAAUUUUUUUUCAAAUAUAUUGAUGUAAAAUUCUUAGACUGUCACUCUAUGUAACAGCAUAACUAUUUGAUCGUUGGCGCUAAUCAUUAAUCGCAAAAAUUCGAGUUGCUAAAAGUAUGCAAUCAAUUUAUUUAAACCAUACAGACACAACGCUCACGAAUUUUAAUAAUUGUGACUCGGUCAAUCAACCUCACACUAUUCUAAUUCUAAACAUAAUCCGCCCAAAAUGACUUUCCUUCGUAGGCCUUUUUAAACCAACAGCAAUAUCCUACAACAUUGUAACCAAAAUGGCCUUUAACUUUUCACAAUUAAGAGUCAAAUCUAAAAAUUAUUUAUUGUGCGCGUACAAUUAACUAAGCAGUUAUGCUCAAAUAAAGUUUCUGGUACAGCAGCUAGCUAGCAUCACUAGGAUUGAUUGAGCCUUUGCCUCCUUAGGAUGUCUGCUUUGCUUUGGUGGGGUUGCUCUGUCUGACGCAUGGUAUCAAGGUAUCUGGAAGCUUUCUAAAAUCCAGCUGAGCAAUUGAAAAAGUUGGGUGGGGUGCAUUAAAUGUGUGGGGAAUUGGCAUUCAUGGCUCGAGUCAAAUAACAAGCCUUUUAGAUCUGGUCGAGGGGACUAGUACUAUACUACGUUGAGAGAUCUUUAAUUGCAUUUGUUUAUCAUACCAGAAAAUGUUACUACUGUACAUAGUUAUAUAAAUCUCAUAUCUCACCUAUUCUACUAUUAAAAAGAAAAAAAAUUGAUAGCAUUACUCUUAUCUCUUAUAACUUCUACAUCAUUCAACAUACAACUCACGACAAGUAAGAAUGCUACACUAGCAACGCGUUUGCAUCGAUUGUUGUGGGUUUGGAUUGGUGGAAGCUGCGGCGGCAAACUCUCAGUAAAUUGCAUUCGAUCAUUGAUUUACGUACAUUGAUCUCUGAAUCAGACGACCCAUCUACUUUAUGCAUGUUAGGAAAUUUAGUUUUGUUGUAGUAUGUUUUAGUUUUGGAAAAAAUGGAGAGAUGGGCAUUGAAUUGAAGAGUAUUGGCCACAAAGUUUUCUAUACGAGAUCUCCACAAUUAAACUAGCUCGGCAACCAUUCUCUCACCACUAGAAGCACUUUUUGAGCAUGGGGUACUUGUUAUAAUUGAGAAGACACCAACAGGAUAGAGUGAUGGGGUGUAUACAAAAACAUUAUUGGCUAUUUCUUUCGGGGUGGUCAAUUCAAACAGCUAGUUUUGUUCCUUUGCACAUGACAAGCGCAAUGUAGGGCUUUUGGAAUUAAGUUAAUCCUCAUAACAAUCUAAAUCUAGUCGAUUUUCACGUCUGAAUAAGUGCUAAUGAUUUGUUUUUGUUAAAAGUGACACUAACAUCUUUCAUUCUGUAAAAAAAAAAAAAAAACUAAAGUUUUAGAAUAAGGUUAUUUUUGUUAGAAUUUGAUUAGAUUUGUAGUUGAAUUCUAGUUGGAUUAAAGUAGAAAUCUAAUUGGACUAUGAUUGGAUAACUUUUGAUGUAAGCUAUAAAUAUAGCAUAGAUAUUAUUAUUUUGCUAGUAAUGGUAUAAUUUAGUCACAACCAUAUGGUAUAGUUAAGAUGGUUAUAAUUUUGAACGCACCUAGUAUGUGGGUGCAAGUGGACGUGUGUGAUUAUCCUGGCUGUGGGUCAUUAUUAUAUCUUGUGCAUAGGUGUAUAGGAUGAGAGAGAGCGGUCUUCUGGAUUUAUACAAAACGAGAGAAGGAUGAGAGAGAUUCAAAAAAAGAAUUUAGGUUUGAAGCUACUCUGUUGCAGAAGAUGAGUCAGAUUUAUGAUAAAAAUUUGAUUUGGGUACCGGAUAAACAGUAGUCGGUGUUGGAGCAAAUUGCGAAUUCUCGACGUUUGGUAUUACCAGAUUUCCAACAAUUAAAAUCAUAAGCUUAUUUACAGCUUUUCUACACCGCAAAGGCUCGAGUAUUUUUGUUCUCCAAACAAUUAAAUGUUAUAUCUUGGAGUAAAGAAGUUAUUUUAGAAGAUAUGUCUAUGCUUGGGGGGUAAGCCUUUUGACUCAAACUGAUUUCCUAUUGUGACUAGUAUCUUAUGAGAAUAGUUCUCUAAUGCGAAACAAUCAUUCAAUUUAUUACCUUAACAAUACAUCUCUUUUUUUUAAGAUUUAUAAUACAGUAACGCCUAAUCUCUUCAGCCUAAGAAGUCACAGCUUCUCAAUGUUCUUAUGCGACUACGUUGAUGCCAGUUAGCUAUUAUUGUACUGUACUUGAUGAUUAAGGCUUGGCACCAUCUCCAGGUUGGUCCCUUUACACUGUGGACGCUAGGUUGCGUUGUAAGCUUUAGGUACUAUUUGGUUUCUCAAAAAAAAUAUUGAAAAAAAAGUUGAGAUUUUUUUUUCCAGUUAAUUUUUGUCCAUUUGAAUAAAAAAAAAAACUUUUUUGAUUUUUUGUUCAAAUUUCAUAAAAUACUAGUAUUUUUAUUUUUCAAUUUUUAAAGAAAAGUAACAUACUAGUUUUUAUAAAAUCUGAAUUUUUUUUCAAAAUGCUAUUUUUUUUGGACAGAAACAGACGGAAAAUUCGAUUUUUUUUAUUCUACACUAUUCUUAUUACAUAUCAUUCCAUUCUCUGUGUUUUAAUGGAGUCCCACUCAACAGGUGAACAACAUUCUUUGAUUCUCAGUCACUUAUCAUUUUGUUUUAUUUGAAUUGUAAUUUGUAAUCUCUUUCGUAAUUUAUGCCACCAUGUAUUAAUCUUUCCAUAUGAGGAUUGAUGAAUGGCCGGAAUUGAGACCCUGGAUCUUUAAUUUAUCAGUGCAUAAUUCAAGUUAACUAAGCUGGAAUAAAUAAGGGCCCAAAAUUGAUCCGUGUGAUUAUUUAAAAUAUAUCAUAAUUAAUUUAUUGUGAUACACAAAAUAUAUUGUUUGGUACAAACACAAAAAUAAUAUAAUGCAAUUCUUCUACCAUACACAGCGGAAACUCAAAUAAUUUAAGUUUUGAUUUGUUAUAUAAAAACUUUUAAAAAUAUUUUCAGGUCAUGUGACAAUCUCGCUAGACAAUAUUUUUUUGAAAGAAAAAAGUAGUAUACUAUUCGCUUCGUUUAUUUUAUUUUAAAAUAAACUUAGUUGAAAAUAUAAAACAACUAAGUUUUGAAUUUGAGAUCUCAUAUACCAACCAUCAAACCACUCGCGACUCGCGUUUUGUUUUUAGACAAAAAUUUGAACCACAAUCAUAAGGCUAUUUAUAAAUGGUGGAAGUCUAGGCAGAGAUAAUUAUUAUUUCUUAGAAUACACCUAAAAGCGCAAAUUCAUUAGUGCUUCUAAGUUUUUAAUCUUUAAAUUUAUCUGUUGACAAUUAAUAGUCUGUAAAUUAAAUAUUAUUCCACCUAUUAUCAUAUACCAUCAUCAUUUUAACCCUAUAUUAUCUAUAUUCAAGGACUAUAAACCUAAAAGCACCAAUAAGGUAACAAACAAAAGGAGAAAACAAGGGAAUCUCAUAUCCAUUGCAUAAAAUUAGAUGAAAAUUGAAAUACCCUAGCAUCACCAUUUGAAGGAGUGAGAGAACAUUCUCAACUUAAUUAUAUACAAAUCUCUCUGAUUAUUUAUUACACUCUUAAUCACCCACAGUGAACUAAAAGCACUUUACUAAAUAAAGUGCUAGUUAAUACUACUGACCCUUGUCACCACCAUUCUCCUCUUCUGCUUCUUCUCCUCGCUCCUCCUCUUCAAAGUUCGGAUCCUUCGCAUCUACUGCACCCUUCUCCAUGUACUCUUCCUCCGUAAAUCGCCCGUCGCCGGCCCACGUGAACUUCCCGCCGUGCCCGCCUUUCUUCGGCUCGCCGCUCAUCCCGGUGGCCGACCGCCGAUCCUUCCGGCCGCCGUUCUCGGCUUUCGAGUGCCCCUUCCCCCCUCUCCUUCCACUCUCCAUUGCUUCCACCCUCUAAACCUUAUCUCACUCUUAUGUUUGAUUAAUAUGGUAGUGCUCUUAUUAUAUACAGGCACUUUGCUUAAUAUGAUACUCAGAAUCUAGUGUGUGUUGCAAACAGAGCAUGCUAAUAGGAUAAGAACGAACACGUACUACGUCGUUAUAUAGCACCUUAUCUUGUAACUGCUACGCUGUACACGUUGAAAGUUUAGUAAAUGAAGCCAAAAGCUAUAUAUAUAUAAACAAAAUAGGCAGCAGCAGCAGGUUUUCAGGGCUACGUGUAUUGUUUUUAUUCGUUACAAAAUCAUCGAUGAUGGACGCUCCGGAUUAAUCAGUUAAAAAUUAUCAGCCUGAAUUAUAGACCAUUUGAAAACAGUUAUCCUAUUUUCUAAAAUUUUAAUUUUACUAACUAAUUUUUUAAUUUAUUUAAUUUGAGUACGACAACUAUACUUAGCCUGUAAAGUUUAAGUCAAGUUUGAAGUCAAUUUGCUAUUCACCGGCUGAAAUCAGAUAAAUUAAAAGAUUUGAUAGUCAAAUUUAAAUUUCAAAAGGUGGGAUAACUAUUUCAAAAUGAUUCAUAGUUUUAGAUAAAUUUCAUACGUUAUUACAUGAAAAUAAUAAUUUUGAUACGUACAGAGACCAAUUUCGUAUUGAGACCCCCGAAAUUGUAAAAGGAGAUAUUAUGUGCGAGGCCAUUUCACUAUAUUAACCUUUCGAUGGUUUGGUUCGAAAUAUUAAAUAUUUGAUUAAAAAAAAUAAAAAGAUCAAUUUAUAAUAAAUUAGGAUUUUAGAGCAUUUGGGCCCAAUCAAAUUAAAAUGGGUUGGAUCGGAAAGCAUGUUGGCCGGGCCUGGCACGGCCCAAAACAUUUCCGGAAGGACUGAGGUCCACGUGUUACGGUGGUGACACGUGCCAGUUGGCAAUUGGGUUGUACGAAAAUUUGUACGACCGAAUUUGCUCUGCAUCGUCGUCGGAUCUCUCUUGUUCGUCGUCGCUUUUUGCCUUCUCGAUUUUUCCCGCCACUCUUUGGCCGAAACCCUAACCGCUCGUCUUCUCCUUCCUCCGUCGCCCAUGGCGGGGCUCCUCGCCCGCGCUCUCCGCUUCUUCUCCCGAGCCGCAUCAGUGAAGGGGGUUACCUCCCGUCGCCUCGAGAUUCGUGCUUUACGGGGGCGUUGGGGGUGCUCUUUGUGGGCGCUAGUAGGAGGUGGUAUCGGAAGGUGAGGCGGAGCCCACGGGUCAGGCCGCGAAGAACUAAGGAGAAGCCUUUGGAGCUCGACGUUGAGAUCUGCAUCGAAGAAGAGCUCCCAGAGGAUCCGCAGCUUUUGGUAAAUUUUUAUUUCUCUUUUGGGGAUAAAAACAAAAUAUAUGGAAAUCCCCUUCAACUAUCGACCAUUUUGAUUUAAAAUGGAGUAAUAGUAGUGAAUUAUGUUAAAUACUUAAAUUCAACAUUGCCAUGAGCUAUUACUUGUUAAUUACCAGUGAAAUCCACACUCGCCGGAGCUGAAAUGUAGUUAAAAUAGUGAAAUUUGGUGGAAUUAUUGAUUAAUUUAACAUAGUUUACAAUUUCCGCACAAUUUCCUUCCACACUCCCUUGAUCCUGUUGGAUUUCUUCUUUUCUGUUCUUUGAAUUCUGCAGCUUUCAAAGGAGUUUAAGCACAUUUUAUGUGCAAUGGCAUAAAAAUUUCUAAAAAUUUUAAAAGUCUAUGUGAAAACAAAUAGUUUCAUUUGAAAUAUUUACAGAAUAAUUACGUAGACUUCUGUUUCUGAUUGUAGUAAGUUCAAUUUUAUCCAAAACUAGACUUCUGUUUCUGAUUGUAGUAAGUUCAAUUUUAUCCAAAAAUUUUAAAAGUCUAUGUGAAAACAAAUAGUUUCAUUUGAAAUAUUUACAGAAUAAUUACGUAGACUUCUGUUUCUGAUUGUAGUAAGUUCAAUUUUAUCCAAAACUAGAUGAUAUUAAUACAAGUAGUCUUUUUUUUUAUCCCCCUGUAUAUACAAGUUUUCUUUUUCCUUAUAUAUAUAUGAUAAGCAUAUCAUGCAACAUAUUGGCAUUUCAAGAAGAAGUUUGUCUGAUGCUCUUACCCGAACUUAUGCUUCACAUACUAGAUUAUUGUCUCGAUGAACAUCAAAUUUACAUGUAUUUUUGGUGAAAUUUAUGCAGAGUAUUGCAGAGACGCUGCAAAUGGAUGUUGCCAGGGCAAUAAAAGUUGCAUUUGAUGAUAUAAAAGACUCCGAAUAUAAAUUUAGAGACAAAUGUAUAGAUGAUGUUGAUAAGUAUGAGAAAGUUGAGUUGUCAUUGCUUCUUUGUAAUGACAAAUUUAUCCGAAAACUAAACAAAGAAUGGAGGGACGAGGACCGAGCUACCGAUGUCCUUUCUAUGUCACAACACGUCCCUGAACUUAACAUGCCGACUGUAAGGCAUAUCUUUGAUGUUUUGAGAUAGCAUAAUAUUUUGAUAUUUUAUUUGCAUAAUAUGUCCACUUUUUUGUUCGCUUCUUUUGUAACUUUGUUCUGCAGCUAUUAUUAGGCGAUAUAGUGAUCUCUGUUGAAACUGCUACACAUCAAGCAGAGGAGAGAGGCCAUGAACUUCUUGAUGAGAUAAGAAUUCUCAUGGUUGGUUCCUUGAUCAGCUCUCUUUUUGUUUAAUUGUUUCCCACUUUUUUCAAAACAUAUACUGUAUAAUAACAAAAUUUUGUUUUCUCAUUUCUCUUCAUGUAUUGUCAUUUGCGCUACUCUCUGUCUUUUGCCCCUACACUAGCUUUUACUGAAUGUUAUGCAACUUUUUGCUCUCUCAUUUUUCUUUCUUUGUGGGUUUGAGUACCUAUUGCGGGAACUGAGUAGGGGUCCUAGUUCCCUUUCUCAAAAAAAGGGGGAAAAAAGGGUUUUUACAUGUUGUUUGUGCAUGUUUAAUCAGGCCCAUGGCCUAUUGCAUCUUCUGGGCUUCGAUCAUGAGAUUGGUGGUGAGGCUGAAUCUGAAAUGAGAACGGCAGAAGAAAACAUUUUGAGGAGUCUUGGGUGGAAAGGAAAGGGUCUAAUUAAUAGUGCACAGGAUGCUGUUGCUGAUGAAAGCCCUUCAGCAGAAAAUUUUGCAGGUAAGAUGUUGAUAAUGCAAACUUUAUAACCACAGAUUUCACUGUUACCCUCUCAUUGUCUAGUUUGCGUCCUUUUUUUUUUUCAGCACACUCAUAAGGUAAAAUAAUAUAUAAAUUAGCAUGGAAUUUUGAACUUCUUGGCAGACAUAACCAAAAUGGCAAGGAAAGAAAGCUCUAUUGAAUGUCACAAAUCAAAACUCAGCUAUAUCUUUUGUGAUUUGGAUGGUGAGCUCAACUUGCUUCUCCCACUUUGUUUUCUAGUGUAAUUUUGAGGUAAAAUGUAAUGGUUUCAUGCCAAUAAGGUAUUCUGAACAGUAAAAAUGAGAUCACUACAAGAACAGUUGAAGAUCUGAUAGAAGCAGCUUCUAGGGGAGUAAAAAUGGUCAUUGUUACUGGAAAGGUGAGUUAAAACACCCUUCUUUAUCCUCCAUUGUUUGGGCCUUGACUUUUUAUCCAUAUAAACCUGAAAGAAAUUAAAAUUUUUGUCCUUUGACUCUUGCUAAUUAGUCAAAAUUCAAAUGGAUGUGUUUUGCCUUCUCAUCUCUUCAAGCAUCGACUUGCAGACUCGAUCAGGCAUUAUAAGAGCUUUAGAGAUAGUUGGUUUUGCAGAAAAAGUUGGUGUUGUAUCUGAAUCAUCUCCAGGUGUCUUUCUACAGGUUCUGUUUUCUUUUUCUGCAGCUAAUUUAGCUUGUCACAGUUUUCUUUUUUGCUUGAAAAUUUGCUGUUGUAUUAUUAUUAUUAUUUCUGUUGAACAAAUCUGCGUUAUUCAGGGAUCACUUGUUUAUGGAAGAGAAGGCCAAGAGAUAUUCAAAGCAGAAUUAGAUCAAGAUGUUUGUAGAAAGGUAAAUUUUCAAUUUUCCAUUUGACAAUGAUUUUCAAAUUUUAUGCUACUGGAACUCACACAUACACGUGUGUGCGCAUGCAUUCGCGUGCCUGCAUGUUUGCACGCCUCCCGCCUCCGCCUCCGCCCACCCGCACAUGGAAUAAGAUGCAUAAGUGCUAUGAAGAUGAUCAAACUGUAAUGUUAUUUUUUACAUUUGGAAUUUGGAAUGCAGGCAUGUUUGUACUCUUUGGAGCAUGAGGUUCCUUUAGUAGCGUUCUGUGGGGAACAUUGUUUAGCCUUGUUCGAACAUCCUUUAAUUGAAUCACUACAUACUAUACAUCACGAACCAAAGGUACCAACUAUGAUGUGAUGUGAAAAUCUUUUUAGACACAUAUUUUUAAGUAAAAUAUCGCGUGAACUAAUGAUAUUUUUCCAUGCAGGCAGAGAUCAUGCCUUCGGUUGAGCACAUUUUGGCAUAUUCUAGUAUACAGGUGAAUCAUUUAUUAUACCUGGUACAAGUUUAAUGAAUCUCUAGUGAAUGAUGGUAUGCCUUGAGGGAAAAGUAUCAAUUAGAAUCUGCAAAAAAACUACAUAUGCAAACAUAAGAUAACAAGGGAAGUAGCAGAUCAUACCCAAUCCUUAACAUAUUGAAUGAAGGUAGAAGAUUAAACUAUUCUUCAUUAUUCACAAACUAAAACUUAGGAGAGACUGCUCAUGCCAGUUAAGCCACUUAAUUGAGCCAGCUCACUCAUAUGCAAACUGCAAGGGGAAGUCCCAGACAGCUGGAUAAAGUGACGCCAUCCAAUUGCACAUAUUAAUUUCAUGUACAUGAAAAUAAGACGCAUGAAUGUAGCAAUCAAGAUUUGCUGGCUGCACAGCAUUUAUUGUAGUGGAUCUUUGUGUAGGAAUUAAUGGAACAAAAGCAAUAAAAGAGUGGCCAACUUCAAUAUUUUUUUUUUUGACGUCUAUAUACAUAUGAUGUUUGGGAUUAUGAUGUUGAGAUAAAUACAUGAAUAUACUAAUGACCAUCUUUACUUCUGCAGAAGCUAAUUUUUCUUUAUACUGCUGAUGGGGUGUUCUCUGUUCUGCAUCCCUACUGGUCAGAGGCAUUAAAGGGACGAGCUUGUAUUGUCCAGGAAAUGCCAGAUAUGCUUGAAAUUGUUCCUCCCGGUAUUUCCAAGGGCAGUGGUGCAAAGUUGCUGUUGGAUCACCUUGGAAUUACGGAAAAAGAGGUGAUGAAUACCAUUUUCAGUAUUUGGGCUUGUUGUUAUUUAUAUUCCAUUUGUAUCAGAUUUUUCUGUGUAUAAGAGUGACGCUUUCUUUGCAUUUAGUUGUCAUUAUGCAAAUUGCAAGGCCUUCGAGCCAAAUGGUCAAGGAGAUUGACCUAAUUAGUUGCAAAACUGUGACCCUAAUGCAUUGCCAGAAUCUAUGCAAAAUUGAUGUGUGCUAUUUCACAUUGCAAUUAGUCUGGCAUUUACACAUAUUGUGAUUCAAAUGCUUGGUCUACAUCAGCUUCCGAAAUAGUUUUUCUACUCCAAAAAGCACUGGUUAAAGUUUUAGCAAACAAACAAUAUGGAGUUUUUGCUACAGUAGGAGGCUAAGCAAAGCUUUGAACUCCGAAGCAAAAGCUCCAAUUUGAAUUUCUAAAAGCAGGAAGCUGAGGAGCAGUGCUUUCCUGAAGAACUUAACAAGCUUCCGCAGAAGUUCUGCCAAGCCAAAGCUUCUUGACGGUGUCAUUUUUUAGCUAAUCUGGCCUACGAUCGGCAUUUGUCUUUCAACACUUCCAGAGGAAUUUGAUCAUUUGCUCGUAUUGCUUUUAAAAUGACAAAGCUUACCUUCUUUUCAAACUAUAAAUAGGUUGUGGCUAUCCAACAAGGGGAAUGAUGUUGGGUUGCUCGAUAUUCAAGGACUUGGCAGUAGGAAGUGUUGCAGUCGAGGCUAAAGCUGCUGAUAAUACAAUCAGAGGCACCAAGAACAACCAGAGGCAUUUGCGAGGCUGCAUACCGAAGCUUUACGACAUGGAUCUGAGCUUGCUUAUGCUACUUACCCCUCUGUUUCAUAUAUUGUUGUUGGUAUUGUCAGAGGAUACUGCCUCGUAUUUGGCUGUGUAUUAUUCCUUUCUCUUCAAAGUAAGGCCUUUUCUUUUUCUUUUUGGAUUAUGGAUCCAAAAUGUAAAUCUGAGAAUUAGAUUGUAAAUUUCAAUCAUCGAAAGGGCCCUUUGCAUUCACUUAUUACAGGGUGUUCUUGGUUUUUUUUUUUUGAUUAAACAGGGGUAUACCCUAUUUGAGAAGAAGAGGUACAGAGUCGAGAAAGGCAAAAAAGGAACUAUGAUUGUAUAAUUUAGUAUGCACAGCCACUAUGAUUGUAAAGCAACUUGUUGAUUAGAAACUUAAGAUGGUAAUUCUCCUACUUCGUUUUGCUAAGUAGAAAAAGAAAAUGAAUAUAAACCUAGGAGCAAAAUGAAUCUUUAGUGGGGUGCAUUAUAUUAAUAAUCCUCUCAUAAAUAAUUACAUGACAAAUUUGUGCUGCCUCAUAUUUCUCCCCAAGAGGAUAAAAGAUUCAUCAAGAAACCAAGCUAGAGCUGCUACACAUCACAAGUGCUUAUGAACUGAGAUGGCAUGUGUUCUGCUGCUGUACAAAAGCCCAUUGCUGCUGCUUCUUUUUGAAAGCACAGAAGCACAUGAAACCCUAGAGGGUUUCUUGGAUAUGGUCCUGCUAUGAGGCCCGGGCGCGAAACUCGGCUUUUUUUGCGCAUCUAAUCCUCCUGCAUAACUCUUGCAUGUCUUCAUCCUCUUCCUGUAAGGGUUCUCUUUUUUCGCGAGAUCUUCUAUGCAUCUCACAUUGGAUAAACACGAAAAGGAUUGAGACUUCCCUUUAUAGUACUUGGAUAACCCUUUCCUGCAAAGAUCCAACAAUUAGUUAAACUACAGGAGAUUAAUUAUGCGUAAUUCGCCAAUCUAAUAUAUAUUUGUCGACAUCUUUUUUUUUCUGCAUGACAACAUGUAAUGAAAAAUCAAAAAUAAACUAAACACCUGAUAGGGAGAUCUUCCAUGAGAGAGGAUAGUUCAUAAAGGGGCCCAUUCUCAUCAAUUUGUGACGUGUUCAAUUUGGGCGCCGGCGAAGUUGCAUCGUCGGUGAGAUCCGACGUCGACGAGGAGACCGAUUCGUCCGAGCCGCCAUAAAAGGAUGAUUCCUCCAAGCACUCGUCGGCGUCUUCGAUUCGAGGCAAUGAGAAGACCCCAUAGAACAGUUGGUUGAGACCUUCGCCCAUUUUUUCUCUUUCUUUUUUUUCCGAUCCCCCUUCAAUUUGGGACCUCAAUAUAGAUUAUGAAGGCCCCCUUAGUGCAAAUUUUUUGGCUAGGAGGAAAUGGAAAGGCCCCUCCCUCCUCUUCUUAAUCACAACUCAACUAGCUUUUGGAAUGGGAGGUAUGUGUGUAUUUAUAUAUGCAUGAGAGGGAUAGGAUAAGGUUUCAAAGUAGAUGCUAAGGGGAACAUUUCCGUGGGCAGUUGGGUUCCUAAUAACUUUGAUCAUGGACCCAGGAAUACGGUGGGCAUGGAAAUGCAUGGUAGAUUGAUACUUUUUGCUUCUGCUGCUAUCAAGUAGUGUACCUUUUCCUAAGAAUAUGACUCACACGUGGCAAACUAUUAUAUGGGCACCAUGUGGAUGAGCUUGGCCUAUAGAUAAGAGUUUUUUUUUUUUUUUUUUUUUCCUAUUUCUUUUAUAGCUUUCUUCUUAUUUUGAAAGGAAACAUAAAAUCAUAACUCUUUCUUAAAUGGCAUUUUUGCAUAAACUGCAACGUUAGCUCUGCAUUAGAUCUAAUUUCUAAAGUUAAUUUUUUAAAAUGUUUGCAAAUUUGUGCAAGUACCGAUGGAGGAGCGCAUGGUGAUGCGAAACAAAUUAAGGAGAUUUUAAGGGGAGUAAGUGUUUGGUUUAAUUAGAAUUUAGUUAUAGUACACUUUAUUUACAUGUCUGUUAUCGAUUUAAGAUCCGGUAUUAUCGCCUGUCAUAAUAUUAUGAAUAUUAUUAUUAUUAUUAUUAUUAUAGUUAUGGGAGGGAAUUGAUUGAGUGUUAUGACCCGGCUCCACCAAGGGUACUAUGAAAGGAGUGUGAACGGAGAUGGGAUAAGACCCAUUUUUUUGCUCUCAUCCGAAUCCGACUCACAUACCUUUCCCUCCAAUUAAUACCCUUUUCCUAGUCUAAUAUCUAAUAUAUAAUAUAUUGUUGUUGAUUUAUUUCUAUUUAUUAUGAGAAGGGAUGAAAGAAUCAAGGGGCGAGUCCUUUGUGUGGCCUUGUUUUGAUGGAUGUUUAUGAUACUAAAAAGUUAUUUUAAUUAUGGAUCAGAUCAGAUGCAAUAAAUUCUAUCAAAUUAAAUUAUAAAUAGUGAACAAAUAUAAUAAAUAGUGGUCAAAUUCGAUUUUGUUAAUAUCAUCGUCUCAAAUUUGGAUAAUGAUAGAUUAUAUUUUCUUUCUCUCGGAUCCUUGCUUGAUGGUUUCAACAUGAAUUUGGUGUGUAAAUGGUUUUAACAUUAAGAUCCUAUGAUCUUUAAUUAACUAAAUUAGAGAGCUCGAAUAAUUACCAAUCAUGAAUUGUAGAACCAUAGAAGGACCUUAUCAGUAAAUAAAUAAAGGUGAUUAUGGUGAGAAAUGUGGGAGAGAAGAAAAAUUGGAAAGAAAUUAAAAAAGAAGAGAGAUUGAGAGGGAUAGUAAGAAAAAAAAUUAGCCAUUCAUUAAUUUUGACGAAUAAUUAAGAACUUAGAGGCAAAAAAGCACAGUAACCUUACUCUCUCUCUCUAUAUAUAUAUAUAGAACUAAGCUAGAAUACUAUUAAUAGCAUUAAGUCAUUGGUGUUAAUAGAUUUUCGGCCCGUGGAUGAAGGGACGUGCUGUUAGGAUGAUAGUGGUCUUCUAGAAUUGAGUAAAUGGUUGGUUGAAUAGUAUACUCUAACGGAUGAAAAUGAUAAACAGAGUAGAUUUAAUGGCAAAAAUUUUGAUAGCACCACUACUUGGUGCUAUUGAUAGUAUAGUAAUCGGACUCUAUAAAUAUAUAUAUUCUUUAGUUAAAUAACACUAGAAAACUAAUAAAACUCAAAUAACCACAAAAUAAUAUUUUCAUAUUUUUAUAAUCUACAUAACAUGGGAGAAAGUUAAAUACCGCGAGAACCCUAAUAAAACUUAAAGCUAAAAAAAAAUCUUUAUGCCGACCGUCCUUAAAACAAGUGGUAAAGGGUUUGAUGGUUGAUACCUAAGGUUUCAAGUUCUUGAUUCACAUUUUCAACUAAAUUUAUUUUAAAUAAAAUAAACGAAAUGGUAGCGUGUUACCUAUCUCUCUCAAAAAAAUAAAAAAGCCUUAUGCUCUACUAUUCAUAAUUAAUACAAAAUAAUAAUUAUUUUUUAAAAAAUAUAAAUUUAUUGUGCUUUUAUUAUACUUCCAUAUUCAACAAAUAGUGCUAUACAUUGUUGCUUUCGCAAAAUAAAUUAUUGCUGGAUCGAAUUUAAUUAGGUGGGUUCGCAACGAGAUUUAGGAUGAUCCACAAAUUAUUUGAUCACUUUAUCUACAUGGGAAGCAUCAUCAACCCAAUCCUAAAAUUUAGAGCGAACUGUAACAAAAGAACACAUGGCCUUGUCAAAACUAAAACGCAAUUCCAUCCCAAACUCUUUUUUUUUUGGGGGGGUUAAAUGUUGACACCUUUUUCUUAACUCCAAAAGGUUUUUAGAAGAAGAAAAGGAAAAAAGUUUUUUUUUUUUUUUUAAAAAAGAAAAAAUUUAGGAUGGUGACACCACAUGUAGUAAAUUAUGUGGGCUAAUCCCUUCAUGAUAAGUGUUGGGAAUGUUGAGUUUGAUCCUUGCCCACUUCUUCAAUUCCCCUAUGUGGGCCCCACCCCCCCUAAGAUGGUCAGGCCGAAGGGUGGGUCGCAUGAGUGUUGCAUAGACCAUGGUCUAUAGACUAUACUCCAAAAGGAAAAACUUUACGCUGCUCAACUAUUGUCUCAGUACAAAAUUAAUAUGUCAGCAAAUUUAUAUAACAAUUUCAGAGUAUGCGCAUGCGUCAAUUAAAAUCCUCAAUAAUAUUGCUUAUAGCAGCAACAUAUAACGGUGACAAUAUAGAGAACUUUUAGCAGUACUCUAUUAAACUAUUAAUCUGAUUGAAAUGGAUUUCAAAAUAACACAUCUAUUUACAUGGAUAGUGAAUAUAAAAAGCAUAUAAAAUUGACAGAUAAGGAACAAGGUGGCGAUCGCACCUAUUGAAAUCUAAUGGAGGAAUUCAAUAUAGAACCUUCUGAAUUAACAUAAAUUAUGAUUUUGCAAAUUUGAACCUAAAGAUUCCAAAAGAUAAUUAACGAAAACUGUUGAAUGUAACUGUUACUAGUAAUUGAGGUCCAAGUCCAAAAAAAUAUGACUUUUCAGAUGUAAACUAUAAACUAUUUGGAAGUUAUAGAUUGCGCUAUUUAUAUUUGGAUUUUAAGACACUGUUGAAUUUGAGUUUUGAUGACCCUCUGGUGUAUAUAGGCCAGGGUCCAUGCAACAAUUCUUUCUCUAGAGAAAGAAUAGAGCAGGGGAAGAGGAUAAGAUGGGGGGAAUUAACGGUGCGAGAUGCUGCGGAGGUCUUAAUCUUUGCUUUUCUUGGAUUGGUAAUCUGAACGUUCCAGAGUAAACUAUGAUUUGACAUGUCCCCAAAAACAGGAAAAAAAGAAAAAAAAAAAAAAAAGAAAAAGAAAAACCUUAUCUACACACGCGCACGCACGGGAAUCAGAGUUUCGGGUGGGUCCCACUUUUCCAUUUGGGCCCACUGCUUAGGAGCCAAUGAAUUUUGAGUUUCCACAGAGAAUUCCAUUUUAAAAAAAAAGUUGAUUUUUUUUUUGUUCAUAUGUUAUGAUUGGUUUUUAGAAAAAUAAAAAUACUUUUGAAAUAGUGGAAUUACCAGGUUAAGUCAUUAGCGAACAAAAUUGCUAAAUUUUAACGAAAUAGCUAAUUUAUCUUGUGAGAUGAAAUUAAAAAAAUAAAAAUAAAACUUAUCGCCACUAACUAGAGCAGUUGAUAGAUAUUUUUUGAAUUGUUGCUAGCAUUUCAGAGUCCAACAUAACAUAUGAACAUAUGGGCUCAGCCCAUUAAAAAUAAUAAUGAUAAAGAAAUUCUCAAGAUACACAACAUUUGUCAUUUCCGCUUUACUAUUUUAGGCAGUUAAUUCCAAAUUCUUAUGUAUCCUACUACUUUUUUUCUCAAUCCCUGCAUUGUUCUUCAUAUUUCUUUACUUACUUUCCUCUUCCUUUUCUCCUACUUUUCUUUCCUUCUUUCUUGCUUCAUCGAUGUUUCUCUAGCAUACAAGUAUGAACUGCUACAAAAUAUUGGCCACGUAAACUUCGAUAGGCAGGUAAUGAUCACCGGAGUGAAAAUGCGAAUGAGUAUGGCUCAUUUGCUGCUAUGCUAUCUGAUGAAUAGUUAUAUCUGGAAAGUAUAAACCAGGAUAAGGGCUUCAGCGUAUAAUUUCACGAAUUACGACCACAUAAAAUUUGCGUAAACCAUGGAGUUGGAACUCACCAGAAGCUCGAAAGGCUAUGUUACAUUUACGGUCCCCUGUAUUAUUCUGCAAAAGCAUCAUAUACGUUUCCACGUCAGUGUCGAGAGAGAGAGAGAUAGAGAGAAAACGAUGGUGAUGAAAGAAUAAAAGGCAAGCUGUGAUUACCGGAGAUUGUAGGUCGCUGACAAGACUUUGAAGAUCGAUGCUUUCUUCAUUGUACUUUUCGAUGAACGGAUGGCCCUGGAAAUGAGAGAAAAAGAUAAAUCAUAACUAGCCUCGUAAAAUUUGGCAGAAAACACUUCUGUUUUAGAGAAGUGACGCUAACCAGAAGUUGCAAAGAUGACAUUCUUCUCUUUGGAUCCUUUUGUAGGCUGCAAAAACAUGAAUAAACUUACUAUUUUAAGUAACUACCGAUGGCUAUUUCACUUUCUGCAAUGCACAUAUGCACCUGAAGUAAAAGGAAAUGAUAUGAUUUGCUUCUUUUAGAACUUUUCACAUACCAGGAUGAUAUAAAUGAGCGGAAUUCGGGCGAGAAUUCAUCAGUUGCAGAAGGCGGCGGUUGAUUGACGAUAGUUUCAAGCAGUUCGUAGAUGUUAGACCAACCUUCUUCCUCGGAAGGUACAUAGGGAAAGCGGCCAAUGGCGCACUCAAGUAUAACCAAGCCUAGACUCCAUAUAUCACUUUUAUAACCGUAUUUUGCAUUACUGAUGCGCUCAGGCUGGCAUGAUGAACAACAGUCGUCAGAAACUAUUUUGCAAGAAAAGAAAAGCGAACAAUCUUUUUCAAUCAAAUGGCAGGACAUCAUACCGACAUGUAAUUGCACGUUCCUGUGACAGUAAUUCGCUCUUCUUUAGAUCUCGCAAGCAUUGCGCUCACACCAAAGUCCGCUAUCUUCACUUCGCCUCUCUUAUUAACCAACAGAUUGGAUGGUUUUAUAUCCCUAUGAAUUAUGCGCCUUUCGUUGUGGAGAUAGACGAGUCCUCUCAACACCUGCAUUAGACCAAAAAGAAAAAGAGGUUAUGUUUAGCUGCAGUAUGUGAAGUAUCUAUCAUAUUCAGGUAUUAUGGGAGCACUUACCUGCUUGCAAAUAAUAGACAAUUCUGGCUCAUUUAUUUUGCGGAGUUGUUUAAGUAUACAUGAAAGAGAUCCGCGAUCCAUGUACUCUAAAACAAGAGAGAUAAUACCGUCGUGGUAAAAGGAUUGGUACCAAGACACGAUGUAAGGGCACUUCGCUGUUUGAUUUAUUCUCAGCUCCUGCACUAUUUGUUUACGAACUUUCUCGUCAAAAUUCAGAUGGAUCCCCUGCAAGAAACAUAUAUUGUAUUUACUGAAGAACAAAAUAUUUCUUCUGAAAAUAUGAAGUACUAUUUAGAGUAGUUGAUAAUGCAGUUUACCUUUACAGCGAAUAAUGCUCCGGUAUCUUUGCGACGAGCAAGUUUAACAGCUGCUCCACUUCCGUGUCCGAUGAUUUUGACAGUCUCAAGGUCUUCCAAACAGAACUGCAAGUCCAAUCCUUUAACAUCCAUCGGCUACACUUCCAUAUGGCAAGAGAAAACACAAGCGUCGCCAAAUUUAGAAUAUGAGGAAAUGCAAAGAACUAAAGGAACUAGGGUUGGCAAUCCAGCUAGCUGUUCACAAGUCAACUCAUGUUCAACUCGAAAGGAGUUUGAGAUCGAUCGCUCAUUUAAUAAACGAGCUAAAUAUGAACUGAAUUUUUCAGCUCGAAAUCUUAACUAGCCGAACACUAGCUCGUGUUCGGUUCGCAGCUUGAAUAUAUAUAUAUAUAUAUAUAUAUAUAUAUAUAUAUAUAUAUAUAUAUAUUAUAAAUUUUUACUAUUUGGAUUUUAGGCCAACAUAAAUUUAAAGAAGCCUAUAUUUUGUGAAUUUUAAUUAUUAGAUUAAGAUUCUAAUUUUUUAAUUUUCUUUCAACUUUUCACCUAGUAGUAGGUCUGACAAUUUAACUUACUGUUUGCGAGCUAGCUUGCGUCCGGCUCAUUUAACAAACGAGAGAACUCGAGCCGGCCCUAACUCGCUCAUGUUCGGCUCAUUGUCAGCUCUAAAGGAACCUAGUUGAUUGCAGAAUAUAGCAAGUAAAUCAAUGAACAAAAAACUUGUUCAAAGUAUAUAUACAGUUGGUAUGAUAAAUUUAAUCAACUACAAAUCCAAACACACACUCUAAUUUAGUGACUAACUUGUCACAGUUGAGAUAAGUAUGAAAAGACUCAAGUAAAAUCAGCUCAAAAUCAGAAAAAUUUACACGUGAUCGAAAAUGAAAGUACCAUAACAAACGAAAACUGCUGUGAAAGUAAUAAUAAUAAAAAAGCAGAAAAUAUAAAUUAUAACCUACCCGAGUUACAUUCUCUUGCGAAAUUAAUUGCAAUCCAUUCUUAUUCACUCGCAUAUUCCCAUCCAGGAAUGUCCCACUCUCUGUUCUGAGGAUCCAAAAGGGAUUAAGAAAAGAACAAAAAACCCAACACAUUUCCGUUAGUUAAAACUAAUAACGAAGAUCAAAAACCAAAGAAGAAGAGGUGAUUAAUCAAGGAGAUUGAAAAUGGGAGCUCACAGGAAAUCGCCGAGGGGGAUCGCUUGAUCGGGAACGGCGAGGGUGAGCUGCUUCGGGUUCUUCUUCAUGAUCUUCGGAAACUAGGGUUUCGAGAUAGAUCGAAUGCGUUGUUUGGCGUGCGCGCGAGAGAGAGUGAGAGGAAGAGGAAGAGGACGAAGAAGGAAAAGAGAGGAAGUGCGUGCGGCGACUUACUGCUGUUUCCAUUGGACAAAGGCGACGACUAGCAAAGCAAGUCGUCGUUUUGUUUGCGUGCGCGCGCCCGCGCGUUCGGAAAAAAACCAGAAAGAGCGCCGUACAGAUAUACCCAGUGCAUUUGAAAGAUUAAAUAAAUAAUAAAAAAAGGGUAGUUGCUUAUGUACCUCUGGAAGACUUUCUGAUUUAUUUUUCUUACCAGAUUUAUAUUAAAAAUAUUUUUUUAUAUUUUAAUAUAUUUUAAAUAUAUUUUUAGAGUUAAAUUCUGAUAAUGAACUAUUAGCAAUAGCUAUUAUUUUUAUAAAAUUAUUAUUUUAUCCUUUCAAAUAUGUCUUUUCAUCAUCACCGAAUUUUCUUAUUUAUUUGUCCUUAAGUUAGGGGCACAAAAAGUGUUUUGAUUUUUGGUCUUUUCAAAUACGUCCUUCCACCAUCACCAAUAUUUUUUAUUUGUAAAUAAACAUUUUGAUAUUUUUAAAAUCCUAAUAGAUAUUUAACUUAUAUUUAACCCAAGUUAACUUAAUAUGUGAUAACUGUAGGGAUAUUCUGAAAUAAUAGAGAAACAUAUAAGAGAUAGAUUAGAAAGAAAAAAAAAUAAAUAAAUAAAAUAUUUCUAAAGUUUUAAGAGUAUAUAGACAAUUAUUCCUACGAAACAAGAGUUGUUAGCCACAUAUGUAGGCCGUAGGGGUGUUAAACGGGUCGGCCCCGGCUCGGCCGGAAUGGCUGCAGGCCGUGCUAGCCCAUUCCCGGCCGGCCUGCAGCCCCGCCUGUGGCAUGACACGACCCGGCCCGGUUCGGGCUGUAGGCAAUGCUGGGCCGCAGUCUAAUAAAAGAUGGCCGGGCCCGACCCGGCUCGGAUUGUAAUCCGACCAGAGCCAAGCCACCUUGUGGCCCGUAGAAGAUACCCCCCUACGCGUAUCCCUCUCUUCUUAAUUUUUCUUUCCGCCCUCCAUUCUCCAAUACGAAUAAUAUAAUGCCUAUCUCUCAAAAAAAAAAAAAUAUAAUGCCUACACCAUUAUUUUUUUUAGGAAAAACUUCAAAAACCCCAUGUAGUUUCACACUUUUUCAUUUUAGUACUAUGUGGUUUAAAGUGUAUCAAGUUAGUACCUUAUGGUUUUGCACUUUAUUACUUUAGUACCCUGUGGUUUCACACUUUAUCACUUUAGUACCCUGUGGAUUAAAAAACCACAGGGUACUAACUUGAUACAAAAUUAAAACCACAGGGUACUAAAGUGAUAAAGUGCAAAACUACAGGAUACUAACUUGAAAUAUUUUAAACCACAGGGUACUAAAGUGAUAAAGUGAGAAACCACAUGAUACUAACUUGAUACAUUUUAAACCACAUGGUAUUAAAGUGAAAAAAAUUGAAACCACAAGGGGAGUUUUUGAAGUUUUCCCUUUUUUUAUGAUAAAUAUAGUAAAAUUAAAAUUAAUCCGAUAAAUACAAUUUACAUUAUAUAAGAGACAAUGUAUAAAAAAAAUGCUGAGUUUGAAUUUUUCAUAAUAGAGUUUAAAAAUACAGUAUAUAAGAUAUUUUUAUAGAUCUGGUGCCCGAAAUAAUUUUUUCAUUAUUAUUCCAUGCAUUCAUUGAAUAACUUUUUUCUCUAAUUCUUUUUUAUGCAUGACUUUAUUAAAUAAUUUUAAUUACUAGUAGAAAAAUAAUUUUAAUUUCUACUAAUGCUUACAUUUCUCUUACACUUUUUAUUUUUUUAUGUAUUUUAGCCAACUUUAUUUAUACUUUUUUAAAUAUAUAUUUCUUAUUUUUUAUAUUUAGAAUUUCAUAAAAUUAUCUAAUUAAUAAUGAGUUGUACAACAUUUUUCUUUAUACAAAUAUUGUGAUAAAAUUUCUUAAUCAAAUAUCAUUAAUAAAUAUUAUAUUAUCUUUUAAUACUCAUAUUAUUAACUAUUUAUUUAUGCAUAUAUUAUUAUUAAUUAGUUGCUCUUAUAAAAACUUAUUUACAGUGUUGGUUGAUUUACGAUUGCUCGGGAACAUGUGGGAGUCUUAUUGUGUUUAGUUUUUUUCUAUGUGGAAGUUCUGUUGCUUUGCGCAGUUGCUAAAUUCACUACUUAAUGAAGGAAACGGUAACGUAUUAUCUUCCUCUUAAAAAAAAAAACUUAUUCACACAUAUACUAAUUUAAACUAUUUUUAAUUAAAUUAAUUUUAUUUGUUACUUUAACUAAUAAUCUGAGUAAUUAGUUAUAUAAUUUAAUAAAAAAAUUAUUUAUUAAAAUAUUUUAUAUCUACAAUGUCAUUCGGAUACUUAACUAGUUCUAUUUUUUUUUUUUUUUUUUUAAAAAGGGAAAAUCCUCGCAUUCGGGUUUGAAUAGUAGACCGCAGAGCAAAGGCGACGCAUCGAGCCUCCAAAUUCGAAUCAAGCCAAUCAGCUUGGUCUGACUAUUCAACGACAUACAUGUACCGUCGGAUCAAAUGAUCUAACGGCUAUUAACUACUUGCCACGUCACACGUAUACCUGCUCGUACAUCAGAUCUCAACCGUCCGAUGGUCGAUCGCCACGAAUCUCCUACUCGCUUAUUAUUUGUUAAUUAAAUAAAUAAAUCUGGAGCUCUGGAGACGGUUCUCCGCUACCCCGCUCUAGGUAUAGCUUUGAGAGAGAGAGAGAGAGAGAGAGAGAGAGAGAGAGAGAGAGAGGGGGGGGGGGGGGGAUUCGAAUCGAGUGCAACUGUUUGGGGAUGUCGACUCCCGCGGAGUAAGUUCAAAUUCUUUCUUAGAACUAAAAUUUUGGUUUUUAAUUCUCUAAUUUUUGGCUUGUUUAGGUUACGAAUUAUUGUUCUUUUGGUUUGAUUUGGUUGCUUCCUAAAAGACGGACUUUAUUAGGUUCAUACGAUCCAAAAUUUGGUGUAAUUUGAUCUUAAUUUCGGUAAAAUUGAUGAAAAAUCGAUUUAGAGCUUGCCAGAAGGUAACAAAGUAGUGGUCAUUGUGAUACGUUGGCCUCCGAAUUUGGGGGAACUUUGUGUAGCUUCUCCUGAGAGGUAUUCCUAUGAUUUGCAUUUGUUACUGCGGGGAAAAUGAUAUGAAAAUUGUGUUAUGUGCGGAUAAUUACAUAUUGGUAGAGUGGUGAACUUAGAUCUUUUUAAUUUAAUAGACUUAUCGGAGUAGUCGAGGCAUUGACUUGCAUAUUUCUUGUAAUGCUUUAGAUAUUGAUGCUGUAUUGUAUUGUUUUCUGCUGCAAUGAGAGUAAGAAGGAGAUUGAUCAAAAAUAUAAACAUGAAGAGUUUCCAUGUUGAGUUUCUACCUUUAAACGAUGGUAAAUACUAAAUAUAGAUGAUUAUUUAGAUUACAUAUUUAUCUGAGUUGAGGUCAAACUAGUUAUCUCUAGAAAAUCCCUGCAUGCUAUGCUACUCUAUGUUUUUUGUAGGCAAUUUACUUGCACAUGUUGUUAAAUAAGCUGUGCUUCGUAAUUUUUAAGGUCCUCUCAUAUAAGUGUGCUUCCUGCAUGCAAGGUCUUCUUGGAGAGGAUAUCGUGUCAUGGGCAUGAUCAUCAGGCAUUAUGUGAUACUGUUUAGGCUCUGAGAUUGCAAACUUGUCUAUAGAUUAUAUAUAUUAUAUGCCAUAUAAUACACAAACAGGCAUUUAUUUAUUGAAUUGUGUAUUUGCUAUCGGUGUGUGUAGUUUAUUGCCAAUAUUAACCAUUCUUCGCUAGUGACAGCUAGCCUGCUUAGGUCUAAGUUCUAACUGUUUUUUUAUUCUUUCAGAUACUAUAAGUCGCUUCCACCAGUGAGCAAGGCCUAUGGCACAAUUUGUGUGUUGACCACUGCCGCAUACCAGUUGGGUCUCUUGAGUCCUUUACAUAUUGCUUUAAUCCCUGAGUUAGUAUUUAAACACUUUCAGGUACUCUUUCCCUGCUUUUGUGAUUUUCAGUUUUAGCUUUCUUUGUUUCUUUUGGCUAAAUCUACUAAAAGAUUACUGCGUACUCAGUUACCAGCUGACUUUAUUUAUUUGGUCCGGUUUGCUUGAUGUAUUGGUCAUAGAUAUUCCUAGGUCAUGCUAUAAACACAUACAUUCUCAUCAAAAGAAUAAAGGCAAUUAGUUCCCGAGCGAAAUAUGCUUGUCGUACCUCCCAUAUCUGGUUUCUUGUUUCACAUGAUUGGAAUAAAAGGCCUCUAAUGUGCAAUAAUAUGGCAUUUAUUUUCUUGAGUCAUGCAAUUAUCUGUCAGCAUUGCAUAAAAUUAGGUCUUUCUGACUGAUGUACUUGACUAUUAGUGCUUCAUUUUAAAUGAACCUACUUCAUGAAGGUAUAAUCCUUUUCUUUUAAUUAUCUUUUCAUUUUCUAAAAUCUUGGUUAUUUGACUAAAUUUAUUUUAUCUUGUAAAAUCUUGAUCAUGUUUCCCUAGAAUUUGCACUAAAGGACUAGUUGAAUGGUUGGCUUGUGUUGUUGAGUCUGUUUACGUCCAAGGUUUAGUGCCCCUUUUGAGUUAUGUGCAGCAUCUUUCCAGAUCCAACUGUCUCCACUUUACUGAGAAUUCAUCUCCUUAUUUGUCAUUCCUAACCUUAUUAGGACUCCAUUAAGGACAUUAGGCAUAAAAGAGUCCUUUUAUUCAAUUUAAUAUACACAAGAAUUGAGAUUAACAAAGGGCAGUUUAUUUUAUUGUAAGUUAGGGUUUGAAAUACUCGCAGACCAAAGAGAAAAUUGCAAGCUUUCAGUUAGUUGUAUAAUUUCUUAACUGUGUGCUAUUACAUGGCAAGAGAAUCUCAACAUUGACGGCAAUGUUGUAUUUAGUUUAGCAACUACUUUUAUGAGCUUUUCUUUAACUGUCGAUCCAUGUGGGAGUAUGCCUUAUAAUCUUUGUUUUGUUUACUUUUGGCAUAUUUGACAUGCAAUUUUGGAAUUUGUCUGUCAGCAAAAGUCAUUUUAUCUGAAUAUUGUCUUCAAACUGAAUGACUGUUGAAAGCCCUGCAAAUCUAAUUUAUUGGUUUAUAAUAAGACUUAAUUGUUGGAGGUUUUAAAUUAAGUAUUGUUUGAAAUAACUCAACUUUGUCCUUUAUUCCUGUUUUGAUUAACCACCUUGGCAGAUUUGGAGGCUGUUUACAAACUUCUUUUUCCUCGGAAAAUUCUCUAUCAACUUUGGUAUUCGCCUCCUUAUGAUGUAAGUUUUUAAAGUAUUAAACUGGAAGCAAAAUAAGGUUAUGGAGCAUAUUAGCUUAUGCCGAAUAUUUCUGUCAUGUAGAGCAAGAUAUGGUGUACAGUUGGAGAAGGGUCCAUUUGAAAAACGUACUGCCGACUUCUUGUGGAUGAUGAUAUUUGGUGCCAUUACUUUACUGGUCAGUGUUUGUUUCUGUAAAAGUUUCAUCUUGAUGCUUGUUUACUUAACGAGAAAAAGUUGGUCAAUAUACUUAACUUCAUUUACAUUGAUAUCAGGCAUUAUCUGCUGUACCACCACUCUGGUCUCCUUUCUUAGGAAUAUCUAUGGUUUUCAUGCUUCUUUAUGUUUGGAGUAGAGAGUAUCCAAAUGCACAAAUAAACAUAUAUGGCCUUGUCAGCCUGAAGGUAUCCUUUUCAAUCUUUUUCUACAUCAAAAUUUUUUUUUUCACUCAUCAGCACAUGGUUUGAGCUUGUAGAUAUUUUUAUUACAAGAAAUUAUCCAUCAUGGUCUUGUAGGCAUUUUAUCUACCUUGGACGAUGCUUGCGUUGGAUGUGAUAUUCGGUUCGCCUCUUAUGCCUGAUCUUCUGGGAAUCGUUGCUGGGCAUCUUUACUACUUCCUCACAGUGCUGCAUCCACUUUCUGGCGGAAGAAACAUACUAAAGACUCCCCUCUGGGUGUAUCCUUUCACAUCAUUCUUUUGAGCAGCCAUUUAACUGCUAAAUUUUUCAUCAUGCAAAUUAAGUCGGUAAUCAUUUGGAGAUCAACUUAUUGAAAUAAAACAUUGGAAAUGAUGCUUACAUAUGUACCCCACCAGAAUUCUCUUUACGUGUAUAUAUCUGCAAAAUCUGAAUAUUCAUAUUUUGCCAAGACUCCCAUAUAUGCAAAAUUAACCGAAUUUAAAAAAAAAAAUUUCUAUUACAAAACUACUUCCUAUGUAUUAGAUGACUCUCCAACUGAAGAUUAGGGUAGUUGGUAAGAAAAUUUUCUUUUCCCCACUUUAAGUCCCAAUGGAAACCCUGACCAAGUGAAAUAUAGACACAGAUUAGUUGCUCGGUGGAGGUUGGGAGUGCAGUCGAACUCGCCAGUGCAACCUAGCAGCAGUUCCAGCGGCGCAUUCAGGGGAAGAAGCUACCGACUCGACAGAUAAAUAGGGUUUGCUUUUGCACGAUAAAUUUCCUGUGAUAAUCAAUGAAGUUUUAGUCUUUUCACAUAAUGUACCAUCGAUGGAUAGAUUCAUUGAAUUAUUUACGUUUUAUUGACUUAGUUUGAUCAAAAUUCAAUGAAUCUAACCAGUCAUUAGGAAAAAGUGAAGCUGUUAAUAUCACUUUCCACCUGUUAUUUUUUUUACCUUCUGUUUGAUGGAAGAACUAAGGUGGUAGGUAUAUAUCUGACUUGUACUGGUGGAUGUGGGUGUUUUAGAUCUUCAGAAUUUUCAGCAUCUGUUUAAUUCUUCGCUUCACAUGAAGUUAGAAGAAUUUGCCAUCUUUCUCUUGUGGUUUUAUGAAAGUGGAUCACCAAACAGGUUGAUUUUUAACAAGUGGUGUUCAACAAAUGGGUCCAAUCGGAUCGUGACAACUUUGAUUGCUGUUCCUCGAAGCAACCUGGUGACGUCGAUACUUUAUCUUUUGAAUUAUUUGAAUUAGUUAUUAUGUAUGUUCACGUCAACUUUUCUCAACUUCACUACACUUGUAUUGUGGCGAUAAUAAAGAUUAGAGUACCUGUGGCAUCAUCUUCGUUUUAUAUAGCCAUUAAUAGAUCAUAAAGCGAUGUGCGAUUUCGGGGGAUGGGGAGUUUUUUAUGCUGCUGUUUUGUACAAUUGUCGCUAGGAAAGUCGUUAGAAAACGGGCACAAUCUUUUAUUGAUCACAAGUUUUAGACUAUUCAAUUGAUUUCAAUUACUAAAAUAAUUUGAAAAUAGAAUUAAAUACUCUACAUUUAGUACAAUAAACUUACUAAAUUUAUUCGCAAUAUUGGAUGGAUUAAAUUUUGCAGGUGGUAUAUAAAUAUAUAAUGCACAAAACAAAUUUCUGCUUUUUUUUUUUUUGUGAACCACGUUUAAUCAAAUAUUCACUUUUUAUUGUAAAAAAAAAAUACUUUGGAUCUCUCGAACCAAUUUUAUAUAUUUUUACUAUGUUAGCGUUUAUAAUGUAAUCAUUUUUGCUAGUUAAUAUAUUGCGUCAUUUUGUUAAUAUGUUAAUAAUAUUAAAAAAUGAAAAUUUAAAAGAUAAAUAGUAGCAUUCAAUGCAAUUAAUAAAUGAGUGAGACUCUCCAGUUAGUUACCAGCAAUACUUAUAGCCUAUUCAAUUUAUUUUUAAAAAAAAACCAAACAUGCCUAAACUUCAACGUAAUUUAAUAUCAACCCCGGAAUUUUCAAAUUGAAAUUAUAUUACCUAAAUGUAAAUUCAACUUGAAUCGCUUUAUCGUACAUAGCUCUAAGAUUUUUCAAAAAAAUAAAUUAAAUACCUGUACAAAUUAAUUAUUUGUCGGUGAGAAUAUCUCAUUUCGGUGCUCUACAAUCCCCUCUCUCUCUCUCAAAAAAAAAAAAAAAAAAAAAAAAAAAAAAAAAAAAAAAUCGCUUUUAUUCGCGUCCGCGUUUUGUUCACGCAAACCACUUCCCUUUUUAGGGAGCGAGAUAGCAUUAGUACCCAUAGCGUGCUCCGCGAGAGAGCUCGAUCGAGUUGAGCGUUCGAUCGAAGCGGAGAAAGGAGGAAGAAGAAGAAGAGGAAGAGGAGGAGGAGGAGGAAGAAGAAGACGAUGUCGUGGCAAGCGUACGUCGACGAUCAUCUGAUGUGCGAGAUCGACGGCCAACAUCUCUCCUCCGCCGCCAUUCUCGGCCACGAUAGUACCGUAUGGGCUCAGAGCCCUAAUUUCCCUCAGGUAUCUGCACGAUUUGCGUUCGAUUUGGCUCAAUUUGAUGCUUAGGUUAUGAUUCGACUAAUCGUGAACUCGUAGUUGAUAGAUCGGAUCGGUGUUGAGUGAUCUCUGCUGUGGAUCGAUUGUUUUGCUAUGAUCUCAGUUCGUUUUUUUAAUUAUGUUUUAUUUAAGUUUGCGUGCAAUUAUUACUUUGUUUCGUGGAUCAGAGGUUGUAUGAGCCGCUUUGCGUGCCAAGGGGAUCAGAUCAAGUGAUUUAAGACUCUUUUAGUCUUUGUAUGUUGUUUAUUUGGUAAUUUAUGCAAUUUUUAGAUGUAAUUUAAUGAUAUGUUGUUUGCUCUUAGAUGAGUAGCUGUAUUAGCAAAUGGAGAAAAUGAAUGAUGCCAAAACGGUGUGUUAACAAUUAAGGAAAUUAGAUGGAAAUUUAAAUAGUAGAUUUGAACAAAGCAUAAGCAAAAUCCCAGCCAGAAACUGUGAGUAUAAACAAAAGAUAGAAUACAAGAUAAUGACACCUUGUCAGAGUUGUUAAUUUAAACGUGACAAAAAUGACAACAAAGUGCUGGUUUUAGUGUUGCCUAGUUAGCAAAUCCUUUAGUUUUUUUUUUUUUUUUUUCAAAUAUAGCAGCGCACUGCAGUUUCAUACUAUCAGUUUCCUUGAAUCGAGAAUUGGUGAUUAAGCCUACUAAAGAUAUCAGCUUAUAUCGAUCUAACUUGUGCUGGGGACACUUAGUAUUAGGAUGUUUGCUUUUACUACUAAUAGAUUGAUAUUCUGGUAAGAAAUUGUUUGAUUUACGCAAAGACGCCAUUUUUGGUUCCUUGAAGUUCUCUGUGUUUCUUCUCUCCACAUUUGGGAACCGUUGUGUAUAUAUUCACUGGAUAUGAGUCAAUGUAAGGAAUUUGCAAUGUAAUGAAUUUUAUUCCCAUAGCAACAUUUAUAAAUUUCAUUGUUCUUGGAUUUGCUGGAUGGUUGUUUUAUUAUUGUCUAAUGCUAAUCAUUGCCACAAUGCCACCUCAUAGUUGCAUAUUUGUACAAUAUAUGUUUGCAGCUUAUGCUGGCAUGCUAUGAUGCUAAUAGGUAGUAAAUACUAAAAAUCACAAAGUUCUCAGCAUUUCUCGUGACAAAAUUCUUGAUCAAAUAUGCAUAAGCAGAAUCUUAUUUAACAGGCGCUUGAAUUUGUGGAUGAUACAGAAAUUGUAACCUCUUAGGUUUUUUCGCUUUGCUUAGUUAUGCAAAUGUCAUAUCCACAUUCACAAUUGAGGCUGGGGUGUUAUGGAAACAUGAAGGUUCCUAAUAAAACUAUGAAGUUUUAAUGUACCGUAGUUGAGUAAUGAUGUAGAUUGCAAAGAAGGUGAAUAAAUGUGUGGUGCUUUCAUGCUUUGUGAUUGACUUAUUUUACGUAAUGUCUUUAGGAGUGAAUAUUUUUGUGUGUGAAAACCUUUUUUUUGGCUGGUCAAGGAAAUCUUUAAAAUGCCUUUUUCUGAGACCAAAACGUUAAACUUUGCAACGUAAAUUAUUGCUGAGAGAGAGUUUUGAUUCUUGUUACCUGCACCUAAAGAUUAGAAGAUAGAGAAGUGCUAUGACGACUUUUUGUAUUGUCAAAAAUUGCACAGCCAACUCAUCGGCCCGCUCAAUGGGAGAAUGUUGUAUUCAUGUAACUGCUUUAUUUUCCCCAGGGGAAUGAAAAUGCUUUAUUCAUGUUGCUAGUCUUCUCACCCCCCUCGCUCCUUCAGUUAAUAUUCUUGCAGCCAGUGUGUGACCUUUUGGUUCCUUUAAUAUAGGCAUUUAAUGAUCUGAGAAACAAAGAGAAAAAAAAAAGCCAUAGAUGGGUUAUGUUUGUCACUGUUAUUGGAAAAUUAUGUGGAAUUGCCUUUUGUUUAUAAUGAACCAUUCUUGUUGUUGUUGUCUCCUUGUUUCUUUUCUUCCCUCUAAUUUGUUUUGUCUAAAUAAUGAGCUGUGUUUUAGCAUUCUUCUUUUAACAUGUAAAAAUUCAAUUCCACAAACUACUUUAUCACUGUCACCUCUGAUCACCAGAGGUUACAUCAAAUAUGGUAGCAAUGUCUCAAUGCUACAACUUAGAUGGUAGCAGAUUGGAGAGGUGAUACAUCUGAAUGAACAUGAGUAGUAAUUACUUUCACUUUAAAGAUCUGACUCAAUGGCUUGAUUGAAGUGUAUUGUUGUUUCUACAUUGGUUGUCUCGCUUCUCUAACUUUUUCCUUUUUCCACUCACCAUCUUCUCUUUAUCAAAAUGCCUAUAAAUUACUGCAAUCAAAAUCUGCAGAUAGUUUGUCUUUUAAUUAUAACGAUCUAUAGUCAUUUCUACUCUUACCAUUAUAAUUUAUUGAUAUUAGCUUGCAUGUCCUGUAAGUCCAUACAUAUUGCAAUGCAAUCCCAUGUAUGCAUACAUGCAUGCUCCCGUACGGACAUGUUCUUACUAUCAAAGAUUGGUUUUACUACGGUCUAACCUUGCCUGCUUGGCCAGUGUAAGCUCUAUACACCUGUUCUUACAAUAGUUUGUCUUAUCAUGUGAACACAUAAGCUAUUGAAAAAAGACAAAAAUAAAGAAACAAAAGAAAAGAGCCAAAAGGGGAGGGGGGGGCCAAAACACCAAACUAUAAAUGCGUACACAGAGACAAAGAAAUUCUCUCUUGUGCUGAAGCCAACGUAUGCAGAUGGUAUAACUACAUUUCAUGCUGAUGAAACACUAUAGUAAUGAGCUUUUUUUAUCUUUACUGGUUUUCAUUUAUUUAUUGUAUUAACUUGUUGUUUGUAUUUUGCAGUUCAAGCCUGAAGAGAUUAGUGCCAUUUUGAAUGACUUUGAAAACCCUGGAUCUCUUGCUCCAACUGGUUUAUACCUUGGCGGUACAAAAUACAUGGUCAUCCAAGGAGAGCCAGGGGUUGUCAUUCGAGGAAAGAAGGUUUGGGCUACUCCGUAUUCCCUUUUUUUUUUGUGCAGUGCAUUUUUUUCAUUUUCCAUUCACCUUAUCGUAUCCAAGGUACAAUCACUUGAUGAUUGAAAGUUCGACAGUCUCUUGUGCUUGAGCACGAUUUUCCUCUUGUAUGCAUCAUAUGAAGAAAUGAAGGAAAUGCAUACAAAGAGAAUCAGUUUAGCGAAGUUAACAGCCAACAACAAAAAAGAAAAGAAAAGAAAAGAAAAGAAAAAGAAGCUACUAGCCAAUAGGAUUGCUUACUGCCAGUUUUCACAAUCGAAGAUUUUCCAAUUCAGUGAUGAAAAAAGUGCUAGUUCUGUGUAAUGUCUGAAGAAUUCCGUAGUCUUCUAGUUUUGGAUUUUCCGUUUAACAUGGUGCAAUCGCUUUUUAUUUUACUUUAUUGCUUAUUUAUGUAGAUAGAACAAGGGUUUGGUUAUUUUCUCUGUUUCCUUAUAGGGUACUGGAGGUAUUACUGUGAAGAAAACUAAUCUUGCUUUGAUCAUUGGUGUAUAUGACGAACCAAUGACUCCUGGCCAAUGCAACAUGGUUGUCGAGAGGCUCGGAGAUUAUCUCCUCGAGCAGGGCUUUUAAACCUGGUACAUGUUUGUUUGGAUGUUUUCUUUGAAAUGUCCUGUCAUUGCUAUGCACGCAGUGAAUAAUUAGGGUUGGAUUUGUCUGUGAUAUUUGUUGAAAAUGUCUGCUAGUCGGUCGGCAUGCUGGCAUGUUCUCAUGUUUUUACCGCAGACUUGUAUGUAAUGUUUGGCUUUCCCUGGGGUCAUGACAUUUUGUGAUAAACUAUUUAUAAUGAAUUUGUGAUGUCUUGUAGAAAAUGUGCAUGUUCUAUGGGUUGCUUGUUUACUCGGUUGUUUCGGUACGCAUGUAAUUGCGUAGCCGAAUAUUGUGUAAAGAUUGGCUUUGACAAUUUGAGAAUAUGCUUAGAAGUUGAAGCUUCAGAACAAGUAAACUGUAACUCAAGCAAGUGACCGGAAGUCUUGGAAGUCUUAAAAUAGGAUUUAUCUUUUAUGCAGGUUUGAACAAGAAUGUUUGAGUUGAGUUACUAUACUAUAAAUAGUAGAUGAAUAGUAUUUUUUUUUUUUUUUUUUUUUUUUUUAGAGAUAGGUAGCAUGCUACCCGCUUCAUUUAUUUUAUUUAGAAAUAAAUUUAGCUGGAAAUGUGAGAGCUAAAAAGUUAAUAGUAAAUACUAUUCAUCUACUAUCUAUAGUACAGUAGUUUCAGUUCAGAAUAACAAUUCUAAUACUUUUUUCUUUGUCGCUAAUAUUUAUGUUUUACUUGAAGGCGAAGCGCUGCGGGCUCACGUCCACUCUAGAAGCUGGUAGGAAAUAGAACCGGCAGGUCUCGUCUUGUAGUUUAGGGCAUGUUUGGUAAACUGAAAGUAGAAGAUGAAAAUGUGGAGCUCAAGGAAGUGGGAAAUUGCCUGAGUUUUGAAAAAGUGGGGUGGAGUGAGAGUUUUAGAGGGGGCCCGAUGUGAACCCACCUUAACAUGCUCUCAUGAGCUCUCCACUUUAUAUUUGAACGUGAAGUGCCAUUUCCUUCGAUUCUUGGGUGACGUCGAGCUUCAGAAACUUGUGAGAUCGAUACAGUGCACUUCAAUAAAAGCAAACAACCUCUUAAUAUAUAUGAUGAUUGACGAUUCACUCACCCAAUCUUAGACGAUGCAGUGUGGAACUGUGUAUAUAACAGGGACAAGAUUCCCGUACAGCCAAAAUGUAUGGACUCGUUGUCGGCUCUGUUCUGUAUUGGGACAGUUACCCUUCUGUAUUUUGAUUUUUUUUUUUCUUUUUUUUUUUUUUUUUUUUUUUUUUUUUUUUUUUUUUUUUUUGGGUUACGGAAUUUGGAAGAAAUUUGUUUAACAAAAAGUGUAGUCGCAUGAAUCAUAUAAGGCAUUAUAAUCUAAUUCAUGAAGGUAGAAUUACGCGUGCUCAGAUUGCGUUAAUAUGAGGAAUUAAAAGGAUACAGAAAAGAAUUAAGAUUUAAUUGUUAUAUAAUCAUCACGUAACUUAGGUCAGCAAUUGCAUUACCAUUCUCCCUCGCCUUUUGCUACCUCUCCUUUUUCUUUGUUAAUCUCUCUACUUACUUUGCCUUUCUUUUUCUCCUUUUUGUUUUAUGGCAACCUACAUAUUCAAAUUUUGGUCUCCUUUCCAGUAAGAUCCAACUACUUACAGUGUAGCAUGUUGAUGCAUGAACAUUCACAACGACUUAAUAGUAGAACAGCCACUGCAAAAAACAAUGAUCUGAAUGAGAGUACCGUGCAUAAUCCUUACUAUAUCUUUUUUUUUCUUUUUUUUUCUUUUGAAAUGCUAUCCUUAUCAUAUCACCAUAAUAUAUUAUGUAUUCCUCUUUUGUGCUACAUAUAUUAAUUGCUUCCCAUAAAUGUUCUUUUGUUGGCUUUCACUUCCCCCUACUAUACACUAGUACACUUUCUCUCCCCUCAAAUUCAGAAUCCUACAGUGAAUUGCUUCCUCACAAGCAAGAGUCACAUGAUCUCAUUCACCAUCAGAAUAUGUCUCUUUUCUUUCAAAAAAAAAGAAAGAAAACAAACACUUCUAUUUGGGAACUCAACAUUGAUUACUACCAUUUUGAAUUUGGCCCCCACAACUAUUUUGAACUUUACUUCUGUUUGCAGGAGAGGAAACUCCCUGUUCUUUGAAUUGGAAAAGCCAAACAGUGUGUUCCCUGUGAGGUCCUGCUCAUUAACUGUUACUGAGGGGGACAAAACUGCUGUGAAAUAAAGUCCCCCUUUGAGGGGAUUAAAACCCUACCAAUCAGAAGAGGAGUAUCUUUUCAUUUUUACCCAAAUUAGGGGUGGUCACAUUUUUUGUUGGGAGGAGAAGCUAACCAAGUAAGUGGGUGAGACAAAUUCAAGCCUAAGUAGGGUGAGGACCCAAACAUAAGUUGCAGGAUUGAUGAGGUCCCAGCUGUGAACUAAUAAUAAUGAUAAUAGUAAUAAUUGAGCCCCCACUAAUGAGUUGGAACUUUAAAUGUGGUCUCUAAUAUUUCAAAUGCACUUUGGAUUCUUAUGGCUUUUUAGAGAUCAUAGAUCUUACUCCAUCUUAGCUCCACAAGUGGAAGUGUGAUUUGAGUUGCUUUGAUUCUGAACCCAAAUAGAAUAGGGAAGGAUUUGAUCCCCACGUUUAAAUGUUCUCUGGCCCAUUUGGUUAUUUAUGGCUUUGAAUUUAAAGGCAUGAGGAGUAGGUUAUUAAUGACAGUAGCUCUUGCUAUUUGAAAUAGGGAAAGGUCCAAAUGAAUCUCUUGUUUAACUCACAAGGGAAUUGAAAUUAUGGGAGUUUUUGUUUUGAAGAAGAAAAUGACAAAGUGACAACCCAUUAGUUCAAGUAGAUGCUCAUGGGAAUCUCUUUUGAUGCACACUUUGGAUCACAAUGUACUAGAACAUAUUGGCUAAGACUAUUUGAACCAAAAAAAAAAAAAAAGAAAACUUGAACUACUUAUUUUUAUCCUUAAGAUAUUUUAUGAGCCAUUUUAUGCUAUAGAUUAAGUUUUUAACCUUUCACUUAUUAUGGUACUAAAGUCUGUCUCAAGUCCUUUGCUGUGCAAGGUUGUUUGAUAUAGGAUAAAAUUGCAUAAUAGGGAAUUUUGUACCUCUCCUGAGCACUCCACUCCAUGACAAAACAAACAUUUUUGUCACAGUCACUUAUGUAAUUAUGGGUCAUCAUGGGUCACAAGGCGCUUCCCAAGCAUAUGUUGCCAAACUAGCCAUCAUGUUUGCGACAGGAACAAUGUGAUUUUGUACCCUUAUUAAGAGUUUAUAGAUAAGAUUGGAAUUUGCUUAUCUGUCUUGUCAAAUUUUUUUUUUCCUAAAAAUCUUAAAAAUAUAUUCUUUAGAAAAACUCUUGAAUGGAAAGAUAAAUGUAAGCGUAGUUUUCUUGGGACAGAUAUGGACUGUUUGUUUUGGUGUAAGUGAAUUGGUGGAACUUAAGUUACAUUACUUCUGAUAUUUAUUUUGUUGUAAGUAAAAAAUAUAGUGUAACUUAAAUUACGUUAAACCUCCACUUCACCUACUCUGGAUUUUUUCCUUUAGAGUGUCGAACUCGACUUUCUGCCACACUCAACCUUCUCUAAAAAAUUUAUUAAAUAAUAAAAUCCAAACUGUUCUUCUUUUAUAAUGAGUUAGAAUUAGCUUGUUUAUAAUAAAUUAGAAUUACCUUUAAAUAAUAAUGAAAAUUUUAAUUAUUUAAUAGGUUAAAUUUUAUAGCAGUAAGUUUACCACUAUAUUCAGGAGAUAACGAGAUUCAUUUUUUUUACAUGAAAACAAAUAAUGAAACUUAAAAAAUUAAUUUCACUAGCACUAAGUUAUAUCAAAACAAGCAGAACAAACAAGUGAAUUUAACUUUCAGACUAUACGAAUUACAUCAAAACAAAUAACAAAAAAAUAAUCACACUUCAGAAAAACUCAAACAUCACUGUAAUUGAAUUACGUUGGAUCUACAUAUUCGUGAAUGGAGACGCCCCCAUAGUUAUAUUGAGACUGCAUAGUUUAAGACAAGGAUAUUUGUUGCGUACGUGACUAAUGAUGCAUUUUAAUUAAAAUAAUUAUUAUACCAAAUCGGUCUCAAACUGAAUGUGCAUACAUAAUUAUUAUAGCUCGUGAUUCAUCAUGAGUCCCUUUGCACGGUUGAUGUGCCUAUCUCAAACUGCUACAGAUUGAAACUUGUCUCAUAUUUUUUUUAUUUUUUGGGUUUAAACUGUUUAUAUCUUAUAAGUGAUGUAAGCAACACUGUGAUAUGCAGGUUUUGUGGAAUUAUUGCUUGGACUCUGUCUCUUUUGUGUUCUGUGGAAAGGAACACACAAGUCCUCAUGACAUUUCAUGGACCAAAGCAACUAAUUAAUUAAGCAUAACAUGUAUGUAACCUUAAGUACGUUUAGAUUAUAAACAUGUUUCUUUUAUUAUGUUGCCCAAAAAAGGGCAUUUUCGACUUAACAAAUAGCAGUUUGCAUGUACGUCUUGUUUGGUGUUAAGUAACUAAAUUAUUAUCUCUUAUAUAUGAUAUGACAACUAAAUCAGUUAUUACAUUACCGUUUUAACUAAAAUUUUCACGAAUUGACCUAGAGUUGUAAGCUUAUAACAAAUUGAAGUUUGAUAAACUGCAGUGUAAUUUUUCAUGCUCACCGCAAAUCUCAACCCUAACAAUUAUGCUGUAAACUGAGGUGUAUGUAGGCUAUAUAUAUACACGUAGAUAUCAGGAGCGAUUUCACUAGAUUAUAUACAAAUAUAAUAUUUUUAUUUUUAUAAUAAAAAUAUUUAAACUCAAUUAGAAAUAUAAAAUAAUUAAAUUUUGAACGUAAAAUUUUCGAUACCAAUCAUUAAAUCCUCAGCCAUGAGUCGCAUCGCAUAAAUGUAUGAUGCGGUCCAUGUAUUAUGCACCACUGGUCGAAGUGGGCUUCAUUUUCACGUGAUUGUGGCUUGGCCAUUUGUAGCAGAGGUUUCCGACAACCCUACAGGCUCCCCGACACGGUUCACUACUACUCAAAUUUAUCCCACACCAAAUAUAUAUAUAUAUAUAUAUAUAUAUAUAUAUAUAUAUAUAUAUAUAGUGAGGCUAUUAUGCUAUCGAAAGUACGGAGCCUUCCGUGCUUCCACCUCGUUUUCGAUGUUGCGACUUUCGAAUCGUCGAUCGGCUCCGUUAAAAUUGAUCUAGAGUAUUUGGAGUACCUAGAAAAUAAAUUUUAUUAUUUUUCGAUAUCAUUUGCCUAGUGAUCGAAUGAGCUCAAAAUCAAUAAAUUUCAAUGGCCGUAGUGAGCCGUUGAGUUAUUUAUCAUAUCUGAUAAUCAACCAUCUAGCUACAGUGGAGCACGAAGUUGUUAUUUUUGUCUCGAAUUCGAAUUUGUUGUUCUUGCCAAGUAAUAUAAGCGGGUAGAGUUACUUCCGAAGAUCUGUAAUAAUAGCAGAGAAUUUAGGUUACAUGAGUUCUGUCGGAUCGUUAACGUUAACCAUUAAUCCCAAAAACUGAAGUUAUGAGAAAUAUACAAUUAAUUCUCAUAAGGCAUACAGAUAUAGCGUCUAUAAGUUUUGAUUCGUGAUUCGAUCCGAUCAACCUCACGUCAUUUUGAACAUGACCCAUCUUAACUUGACCUCCUGCCACAGGGCAGAAUACUGAUCCUUUUAAGCUAAUAAAUUCGAGUCUGCAAGCAAAAACUAGAGAAAUAUCAAAGUGAUUUUAUUAGAACAACACAUUUUCAAACUAUGACCGAGUUACAAUCCAAAUUCACAAUAUGAUGAUGAACACCAUUAAUAAAUGUUACAUGCACAUACCCCAACCUAGGCCCACACCCUAAUUAAAUUAAAAACGAAUUUGAAUUUGUAGCCAUAAUCCAUCCACCACUCUAAUCUAGCCUAUAUUUAGAUUCAUGAUCUUCAUUUAAGUUAAAGAUUAAUGUAGCCGCCCCAGCAACCGUUGGGAUGCUAAACCUUCUAUUAAUUAGCCCCAGGAAAAAACCCUAAACCCUAAUUAAUAAAUUACUAAUCCACAAACGAACCUGACAAUAAGAUGACGCAUUAAUCGAUUCCCUAAUUACUGUCGUUUUGCCUAGCAAAGUACCGGGAACGUUCCCAUCCACCCCCCCUUUCAAAAAUUCAAAUCUUAGUACUACAUUUAAUCUUUGAUUAGUGUAAAAUAAUGUUUAAAAAAGCUCCUGAGCUUUUGAAAAAAAAUUAGUUUAUUGGAGACAAUGAUGGGCACAAAAAGAUGGAGAGGCCUCGUUCCACGAGCUUAAUUGAAAAAGGGGCGAAAAGUUUAUUAGAGUGCGGGAAGGGUGAUUAAAGAAACGCAACACAUGCCUCUUUUGAUUAAUGGAGAAAACAUAGUUUAAUGCUUGCUUAAUAUGUAUAAUUUAGACACCUAAUUAAUUAAGCCUCGGGUUUUAUCUUUCUCUCACCUUGCUUAUCGUGUUGCUCUUUACAGCUUUGAAAUUGAUAGGAUAAACAUUACUUUUUUGAGUGAUUAUUCUAAUUUCGUUUUGUUUUGCGCGUCAAUUUAUCUGUUUAGAUUAGAUUUUUAAGCAACUUAAGGGACAUUUGGAUUAAAUAAUUAUAAUUCGGCAUGUUUAUCAUGACACGUAUCUGUUGCUAAAUCUAUGAAAUUUAAAUUUAAAAACUUAUGUUAAUCAAAGACUAAAUAUAUGUAUAUAUGUAAUUUAUUAAAUACAGUUUUAAAAGAUGAAAUAAAAGUCAUAAGGUACAUUUUUGAAUAGAAAAGGAAGAGACACAAGGUACAUGUCAUCAUCAUAUAUAGCUUGAAAACAUCAAAAAUAAAAAAAAAAUGUCAGAGGAUUUGGAUUAUAUACCUCUUGAGAAGUGAGAGGGGAUUAUAACGGAGUUGAAUGGAAGAUUCCUCUUUUUCAAUUUAACGUACGGCGUUUGAUUAAUAUGAUGUCAUAAAUACGGCUUCUAUGUACUACGCUGUCCCUUCCUCCCCAGUAUUAGCAUGCAAUAUCUUACCUUAAUUAAUACAUGCAGGAUCUUUUAUCAGAAGAUCCAACCGCUCAGAUCGAAUCCUCUUGGGCCCCCACAUGUCCAUUUGUGAAAUCUUUUGCAAUUUUAAAAUUCUCUUCUUUAAUGUCAUACUAACUUUUAAAUUAUUCAAAAUCUAUAAUAUAAAAAAAUAUAUAUAAUUAUGUUUAUUUUCGUAAAAAAAAAUAUUAUGUGUUUUUUGUGAAAGGACUGAAAAGUCAUAGAGGGAGUUAUGGAGGGCAUGCAGUGUCAUUUUUACCACGUCACGUAGGAAAAAGCUGCAUGAAGUGAAUAAAGAGCCCUCCAUAAGUGGACGACUCAGAACACGUUAAAAGCGCCCGAUUCGAACUCGGUCCCCUUUUUUUUUCCCGAUUUACCCCUCUUCCCGUUGAAACAUGAGAAGAGACAUGUACGGGUUAACUCCCUGAACCAUUCACAGGACUUUUUCAAUGAAUAUUUCAGACCUUAUUAUAUGUAACAUUUUACAUUUUGCCCAUUUUAUGAGUUACAAUUUUUCGGAAAAAAAAAAUAUUGAAAAAAGUAAGAUCAAUAAAGAAAAAUAAUAGUCUUUAAAUAAUCAAAAUAUAAGAUCUAUGCCUUGUAAAUAUAUAUAUAUAUAUAUAUAUAUAUAUAUAUAUAUAUAUAUAUAUAUAUAUAUAUUACAUUAUGUUAUUUUUGCAUUGUUGGUGUGUUAAUUUUCAUGCUGUGGAGAUAUUUUGGUUCAUUUUAUUAUAAAAUAUGCUUGUUUUUCAAAGCUUCUCUCUUUAGAGUUUUUACUUUUAAAAGUGUGAUUAUUUUUAUUUUUUUCUUGUAAUAUAAAAAGCCUUUUUAUAUAAAAAAAUUAAUUAUUUUAAAUAUUUAAGCAAAGUAAAUGGCUCAACAAAAAAUAAAAAGACCCACUGGAGGAGGAUCAGGAACUAAAGUAUUGCAUAUAUUAAAGUUGACGAACUAAAGUAUUUUAGAUAAGAAAAAUAUUUUAUAUCUCGCAAUAUGUAAAGAAAGAUUGUAUUUGUCCCAAUAUAUAGAACAUUUUCUAAACAAAUCAUGUUAUGCCAUAUGAAAAGGUAAAGAGCAUGAUCAGGAAACAAUUUCUAUAUAUAAUAAUAUAAAUUUUUUAAUUAAAAUAAUGUUUGUAUACUCACAUGUCAAACGAGGAUAUUUGAUUCAACGUUAUUAUUCAAAUAUAAAAUAAUUGUGAUAACAAAUUUAUUCUUAAAAUAUUAUACUUAUAUACUAGUAAUAUGCUGAUGAUACUAAAUAGUAUUUUCAAAAUACGUAUAUUAAGCCAUCAAUUCUUUCUAUAUCGUACCAGCAAAAGCUCAGUUAUAAACAACCAAUCAAUUAUAUUUUUUGCGAACAAAAUAUAAGAAGUUUUUUUUUCGUAAAUAAUAAUAAAAUGGAUGAAUAUCGGAGUAUAUAUAAUUGUGACUGAUUGGGUUAGAAUAUGUGAUUGGCAUAUUAUAACUUUUUUGCUUUUUUUUUUUUUCAAUAUGGGGCUCUACAUGAAGGAGGAAUUCUAUACUAUCACACUUGCACCACGUCAUCAAUAACAAGCCAAUCAUAUUUCUUCUUUUCAAACAAAAGUAUAAUAAAAAUAUUAUUUUUACAAUCAUGAUGGGACAUAUAUCUCUAAAAGGAGACAUUUGAUUGAUUUGUUACGCCACGUCACCGAUAUAUCCGUUGCGUUCUAAAAUUUUUCCUACAUAAAGUGGUGUGAUAUUUACCAUUUUUCUAUUUUUUGGAUCUAUAUCUAAUUAGUAUGGUUGAUUUUACCCUCUACAGAUGUUCAAUCAUAGGGGCUCUGAGUAACUGAUCAGAGAGGAAUAUCCCAAGCAGGAGAGUGUCAAGAGAUUAAAAAGUACCCUCUAAAACCCUCUCAUCCAUCAAAUCAAAUUCCUAAUCAUUACUGAAAAGAAAUUUGAAAAGGUAUGGAGUAGAUUCAGAUAAUCAGAUCAGGGUCAGGUGGGGAGGAUCAAUCAGAUCACCUGCACCACCCUACUACUGCUCUGCUAUUAGUCAUCUACUCUAUCAACAAUUUCUAGUCCAGCCCCACAUGAUUACUUGCUAUGUAGACUUUUAGGAAUUAAAUAAUCAUUCAAAAGAUAUUUUUUUGUGUGUAAAAAAUAAUGUAAAUUAAUAUUUGAAAGUUGUAUCACUCGUGAAUGAAUAUAGAGAAAUGCUGCUUGUACACUUCGGUGCUUGUACACUUCGAAAGAGGCUAUAUGAUUUACGCUCCUCGGCAUAGAAUUUAAGUUUCUUUAAAUCUUUAGAAUUUGUUUAAAAAAGUUCACAAGAUAAAUAUGAUCCUUGGAUGAAGCGAGAGUAAGAUUUACAAUUUUUUGGGGGGAUGUUCGAGUAGUAUUACUCAUGAAUUUAUGCAAUGUACAAUAGUAAAUUUAAUUUUUUGUAAUUUAGUUUUUUAAUUUAUUUUAAAUAUAUCUUUUUUGAGAAAGAUUUAUUUUAAAUAGUUAACUACUGGGAAGAACACAUCUUCUCAAUAAUUAGUAUAUUGUACCAUCUUUGAAACUAGUGACAGUUUUAGGUUGAUUUUACAAAGGCAUAAAUUUUGAUUCUCAAACUAUGAGAAGUCGCACAUUUUGACUAUCAAACAUUUUUUAUUAUAAUUUUUAGUUUAGACUUUUAAAAUUAUUACAAUCAAGCCUAGCAGUGCAGUCUAACUGAUCAAAUAGUGCUAGGUCGAUCAAUAGCAUGUAUAAUAAUAUAUAGCAGCAUUAUGACUGAUAAUAUGAAAAUGAUUAAGACAACAAUAUGACCGAUAAUGUGAAAAUUAAUGAUUAAGACGCUACAUCACUACCACUUCAAGUACUGUACAUUAUCAUUCAACCAAUUACUUAAUUACAAUGUGAAACUUGGUUACAAUAAUUUAAAAAUUAAAAUAAAAAAUUACAAUAAAUUAAGUGUCACAGGUCUCAUAGUUUGGGAACCAAAGGUGAAACCAUAGCCUUUCAGAAAGGAGUAUAUCUGGUAAAUCAUAUGGCAAUGAACUUGUCAAAGUUACAGUAGUAGCAAAGAAUGCAAAAGGGCAUUUUGUACAGUGAUUGAGGUAGAACUAUAAUAGGAACUAAUGCACAUGGUCUGUUUUAGGCCCCGGGAGACACAAAAGAGUGAGUUUGACAUUACUUUUGUUUCAUUUGCCCCCAUGCGUUUGUUCCGAAACAGUCGAAUCUUAUUCACCUCACUUUAAAGUUAAAAAGAAACCUUUUUUAUUUAGUUUUUUUUUAAUUCUUUUUCUUUUCAUUGGCUGGAAGAGUAUUAACUUCCGAAUAAAAAAGAGAGGGGGGAGUAAAAGCGUAACUAAAAGCUUUUGUCUUUUUCCGCUGUACUAUAUGGAGAGGUGCUACUUUAAUAAUACUACUAAAAAGUUAUAAAUAUAUUGUGAGUAUUUGCGUUACUUCAGAUUCAAAAUUGAAUGCCCAAUUUGCAUAAAAGAUUCGUUAUUUUUGGGGCUUUUUUAUUUUGUAUUUGGCCCCUCAUUGUUUUUUACAAAUAAUUCUAUCAAAUUUAUAAUUAUAAAUUUGGUCCUAUUUCCGUUACGCAGAUGCCACAUUAGCGCCAUACAAGCUGGAGGGUGUUAAGUUGAACAUGGUAAAUGAUUCACCGUGUUUCAUAUUUAUAUUUUUUUUAUUCCUUUUUUUUUUUUCUUUUCAAUGCUUAUAUUUUUUGGCAAUACAUAUAUUUUUUUUAGACACGGCAUGGUGAAUGGUUCACCGUGUUCCAUACUUAUAUUUUUCUUAUAUUUUUUCACAAUACAUAUAUUUGUAUUUUUCCCAAAUACGAUGAAUCAUUUAUUUACCGUGUUUAGAUAUAGUGAAUAUGGUUCACCAAAUUUAAUUUAAUAAACUGGUCCCGGUCCUGCUCAUGUGGCGCUGGCGUGGCGCCCGUGUGGCAGGAUUAGGGCCAUUUUUGCAAAUAUAAAUUUGCUGGAGUUAUUUUUAAAAUAAUUUUUUUUUCAAAGGGCCAAAUGCAAAAAAAGUUUUUUUUUGAGUUUUUGCAAAAAUAAUUCAUAUUUUUGAAUUUUACAGAUUCCAUCUGAAUUUUUAAAAAUUGACAAAAAUACUAUUAUUUUCUCUCUCUCUCUCUCUCUUUUUUUUUUUUUUCUCUCUCAUUCUUUUUUGUUCUCUCUGAAGAGGGCGGCUGAGGCAGAGGCGGCCAACCUCGCCCGCAACCACACACCCGCCGCGCUCCUUGCCAUCGUCCACUCCGCCACCGCCUCACGAGCGACAGCGAGCAUCGCCUCGGCCACGACCUCAUCACCACCGUCCACUCCCCCCUUAUCCACACUUGCUCGGAAACCUCCUCCUUCAGCACCGGCGUUGGUAAAGACGGAGACGGAGGCGGCGGCUGAGGGGACGGCACUGCACUUGUUAUCAUCACUGAGGGCCGCGGAGAUGAUGGAGAAGGCGAUGAGAGUCGGAGAGAGAAAAAAAAAUAGAAAAAGAAAAAAAGAGAGAAAAAAAAUAAUGGUAUUUUGUUUAGUUUUUUAAAAAUUUGAAUUGAAUCUACAAAAUUCAAAAUAUUGGACCGCUUUUACAAAAUCUUAAAACUAGUAAAAUUUUUAUGCAAAAAGGCCUAUUAAAAAUCUCUUGACUUUUUUUAUUAUCAAACAUUAUAAUUUUUUUUUAAAAAAAACCUGUAAUUAAAAUGAAAACAGAAGCAAAAAUGUGAAAAAAAAAACUAAAACAGCUAAUGUUCGUAGUAAUUUAAUAUCUGCAAAGAAGAUCUUCCGUAUCUUCAUCAAUAAACUUUAAAAGCAAAUGUGGCAGGUCUAUAUAUAUUUCUUUGUUUCUUCUGUUUUUUUUCGUUUUAUUUAAUUCGCUUAGCUAGGUUUCAUCUGAAUCUUAUAGGCGUAACCCCACUUAAUUAAAAAGGACAAGUGAAGAUGAGUUGAUCACAUGGUCACCUCAUUUAUAUGCAAUUUGCUUAGCCUCAAAGAGGCAAGUAAAAUGUUACCUCAACCACCUCCCCUGUUUUUUAACUGUGAUCAAGAAAACUUUGCCUGCACCAAGAGUAUACUAUAUAUACUUCAUACAGUGCUUCUAGUAUGCGAGGAUAAAUAUUUUAAAUUUAAAUUCUAACCCAAUAAAUAUAAUCAACCGUCAGCAAAGAGCCUAUAUAUAAUAACUGUUUAUUUUGAAAACCUAUUACCCAGCCAUUAAGUGAUAUAUAUUAAUUUAAUGGCGGAGAAAAUACUGUUCGUUAACUCGUAAGAAACUGAAGUUUAAAUUUUAAGAUUUUUCAUAUUGUGCAUGGUUAUGUUUUAGUAAAGUAGUGCAAUAGCGAAGGGGAAUAACUCAAUCUCUACUGGUUAACCCUUACCAACUCGGCCGAGUGAGAUCGAGAGUUUUAAUUCUCACCAGUAGUAAGAACAGAUUUGAUUUUUAUCGAGUCUAUGAUAGGUAUGCGGCCAAUCAAGAGUAUUGCUCCGGAGAGUCCAUGCCGCGCGGACAUAUCUAGCAAGUUAGAUUCUGAUCUUGCGACCUGUAUUAUAGAAGUUUGCGAACGGAUUGGACGUGAUGCACAAACUUGUGCACCCGGUGCAGGGAAGAGGUGGCGCGGCCCGAGUGGCGACCAAGUUUGUGGCUGAGCCGACCCUACGACGUGGGAUACAGCGGUUCGGGUCGGGAAAAGACGGAUCCGGAGCACAUGCGCCACAUUCCAAACCAUCCAAUCGGAUGGCGACCGUAGCCUCAAACCCCUCCCCACGUGUACUCCGCGCACAUCACAUGGGAAGCUAAUUUUGGGCGUGUCUCAACACCAAUAAUAAGUUGAAGCUAUUUCUUAAUUAUUAUUAUUAUUAUUUUUGUAACUUUUGCUUUGAAGAUAAUAAUAAAAGUAAUUACUUAAAAGGCACGUCUGAAUCCAAAUACAAUGUACUUUAGAUCUACACAUUAUUAUAUCUAAGAAAAAAAAAUAGAAGUAAAAUUAUAAAUUUUUAUUUAAAGAUCAGAAUAUACAUUUCUUAAAUUUCAACUUAGAAGGUGUUUGGUUCUAUGUAAAAUCACGAAAAAUAAUUUUUUGUAGAAUUUUUUUUUUUUUUUUUUUACGUUUUGUGGUGUUUGAUUUAUAUGAAAAAAAAUAAUUUUUUAUAAAUAUUUAUUUGGUUGAAAAAAAAUCUAUAUUUGUUUAGUUGGGUAAAAAAAAAAGUUAAUUUUUUUUCUCAAAUCAUUAAAAAUGCUUUUACGAAAAAAAUAUUUUAUACAUUGAAUCAAACAAGAAAAAAAAUAUUUUUUAUACCGAAAAUAAUUUUUCAAUUCACUUUACGUUGAACCAAACACGCCCCCUAAACUAAAACCUAAACUAAUGUUUAAACUGUUAGUUCAUUGACACAAUUUGCUUGAAUCGUGCGUGUCUAAAUUUGACGCUAGGGUCAGUUAUUUUCCUACUUGAAUUGGACUGGCUAAUCGGAUCAAGUUAAGCCAAGUCUCCAUGGCGCAAAUCUUAAAGCAAUAUGGGCACGUUGGUGGCUUAAAAAUUAGCGCGCCAAAUACAAUUUUAAUAAAUAUUGGUGGGGAAAUGUUUUCUUCCAAUAUAAACAAACAUUAGCCAAACAGGACUCAACAACUUCAAAAUCAAAAGCGAAAAAACCAAUUAAGUAAAAAAUAAAAAAUAAAAAAUUUAAAAAUGAGAAGAGAAUUGAAGGAUUUUGCUGCAAUCAAUAGAACCACAAAGAAUUUACACCCAACUGGUUCUUUGAAUUCUCUCUUUCUCUCUCUCUCUCUCUCUCUCUCUCUCAUCCAAUAUUGUUACAAUACCAUUAAAAAAAGAAAAGGACUCAUAAAAUCAGGUGGAAUAAGAGAGCUCAAACUAAAACUAUCCUCUUAUUCAUCAUACUCGUUUUGAAACCUCUUGAACUCCAUCCACAUUGAGCGACCAUUAUCGCCAUCGUCGUCGAUCACCAUUUUCUGAAGAGGUACAACUCCUUUUCCUUCUCCGGCUCCCGGCCCCACUCGGCCUUCGAGCGGAGGUUGUCGAGCCGCCCCACGACCGCGCUCUUGAAGUCGAAGGCCUCCUGCACGUUGGCGCACGACCGCUGCAUCCCGACCCCGCUCAAGCUCGCGCGCGACUCGACCAUGACCUCGCUCAGCGGCAGCCGCUUCCGCAGCAGGCUCCCCGGCUCCGGCCGCUGCUUGGGCGCGCUCUGCGACCGCACCUUCGCCUCGAACGACUGCGUGUUCGCCAUGUAGCUCGGGCAAUUCGCCGCGUUCAGCGACCUCCGGAAGGCGUAGUCGCCUCCGCAGACGCUCUUCGCGGGCGUCGCGGGCUGGUUCAGGUACCGCGGCGUGCUCUGCGCGGUGGCGGCGAGGCGGCAUUCGUAGUCCGGGAAGUAAUUGCGGCAGUUGUUGCCGCCGCCGCCGCCGGAGACGGCGAUCCGCGCGGGGACGUGGCAGGGGAGCGGGGACGAGACGGAGUUCGGGGGGAAGAACUCCUCGCUGGCGUCCCACGCGAACGGGCUCGUGCGCCGCGACGACCGCGACUUGGGCCGGCAGCACGUGUCGAUCUCCACGAUCUUCGGGCUGUGGAACGGCGCCGCCUGCUCGCUCCGCGUCUCGUCGCAUCUCUCCUGCUAUACAUAUAUAUAUAUAUAUACAUAUAUAUAUUUUUAUAAAGAUAAAUAAAAUAAACUUUGUCAAAAUUCGAAUUUGAUUCGAAAUAAGAGAAGAAAUUAUACGCACGAGAGAUCGGCGGGGCCGGAUCUCGGGGUGGAAGCGCCGGUCGCUGGGAAGGAGAUUGCGGCGCUUGUGGGCGCGAACGGUGGCCUGGGCUCGAAUCAGAGCUUGCAUGCUGUGUAGCGUCGCCGCCGCUUGUUUACGAACCAAAUAGCCUCGCACAAGCGCUUGUAGCUUCACCAGCGCUUUCAGAGCGCGAAGCGCUUUUCUAGCCUGCAGCAACAAAAUACCCGAAACAGGGGUUUGAACUUGUUACGUACAGUGUAAUAAAGGAAGGAUUAUAAAUUUUUCUAUAAAAGAGGAGCUGGCUCAUAAAUGUGAUGAGAUGGUGGAAGUGGGGGGCGGGGGGGAAAUGGUGAUGGGACGAUGAUCGUAGCACAGAGAAUUGAAUAGAUCCCAAUUCGAAUGCGUAAUCAAUAAAAAAGUUAUUAUGAGCCCCCACACGGAGUAGCUUAAAAAAAAAGAGGAAAACAGAAGGGAACUAUAACCAAAAACAGGGGGCUGUUGAAGAACCAAUCAUAGGGAAUGUAGCAGAAGUAGAACAAAGAGAAUGGUAUGGCGAACCCAAUUCGACAGAGGAUUCUUAAAAAAUGCGAAAAUUACGUUAAAAAAAAAAAAGAUUAUAAAUGUUUUUUUUUUAAAAAAAAUUCUGUGUAACUUUUGUUUACCAAGUAGCCUCUGAAGGCGGUUUGGAUCUUAACGGCGGCGAGGCGCUCGUGGGCGGCGGAGGCGCCGCGUCCCUGACUUGUGAGGCGCACGACCGCGACCGCGGCCUGGGCCGCUGCCACGGCGGCGUCCGCGGCCGCCGCGGUGGCCGCCGCCACCGCGAUGGCGUGCUUGCUCUGCUCCUUCUCCGUCUCCGCGUACAGCGACCUCAACCACGCCGCCGCAGCGGCCGGAUGCCUCGUCGCCGCCGCCGCAGCGGCCGCGUCAGCGGCUGCGGAGUCCCUCGACGACGACUUCGCGAAGCUCCAUCGCUUCUUCUCCCUCCUAUCCUCUCCUCCUCCUCCUCCGCCGCCGCCUCCGCCGCCGCCCCCGCCAUAGCAGGAGUACUCCACCUGUUCCCUCUGCUCCUUGCUCUCCUUUCUCCCUCCAAGGAGGCUCCUUAACCACCUCGUAGCUCGACCCAUAAGCGAUUUCGCCGUUCGGAAGCGCUUCAGGGAGAAGAACAAAGAAAUGGGUAUCAGCCAAAAGCUCACAUAGCACACGAUGUUAAGAGAAAGGAGCCUCUUUGAUUCCACCAAACCUUCAAAAAUGAGACCUUUGCCAAAAGAAGGAGAACGUAAAUAGAAAAGGUAGCAGAAAAUAAGGGGAAAAACGGAGAGAGAGAUAGAAAGAAAAAAUAAAAGAAGAGAGAGUAAAAAACUGUAGAUCCCUCGUGAUAAGCUGCGUUAUAAGACAAAAGCUAUGUCCCGGAAAGAAACAGGAGAGAAAGAUAAAGAGAGCCCCAUUAAAGUAACAAACAGAGAAAAGAAGCAAAAACCCACAACCAUAUACUACAUAGCCGUUAAAACUUAAACUGAGAGAGAGAGAGAGAGAGAGAGAGAGAGAAUGGGGAUAGAGGAAAAGAGGUCGGGAUAUAGCUGGGGCCAGUGUCUAAGAUUCAAAAAUACAAUAAAGGGAGUUUAAAAGGGGAUUAUAGAGGAAGAAGUAUAGCUCACGUUUCCAAAUAUUCCCCACCUCUACAUAACUUAGCGCAAGAGGACAUAGAGAGAAAACAGAGGAUAGAGAGGACCCAUCUUCUUUUUCACUUGGAAGAGCUGCAGCACAACAAACUCCAUCUUAGUCUCAAACUACUUAUGACCAUGAAACACAUUGUCGUGGAAAAGAAAGGUGAAAGGCUCCUUAACUUGCCAUCAACUUCGUAAUAGAGCUUUGUGGGAAAGAAACAUUGUAAGCGCUAUAGGAAAUAAGGAAACCAACCUCAAAAAGUCACAAAGGCUCCUAUGUUCCUUCAAUAGAGAACUUGGUACUCAACACAUUGAACACAAAGGCCCCUCCCUUUUUUUCCCUCCCCAAGUUUAAAAGCCUAGUAUCAUGGAUGGUACAUUACAUAUUCUCAUUUGAUCAAAGGAUUCAAUGUAUAUAUAUUCCUCUGCUCCUAUUGCCCUUAGCGCCUGACACUCUCGUGAACCACUCAUAACUUUUUAUCUCUUAUUCCCUCUCUCUCUCUCUCUCUCUCUCUCUCUCUCUCUCUCUCUCCCCCCUCGAUCCCCUGUUUCUUUUUCUUCAUAAAACAGAGGAGGACCCAAAAGGACGAAAUCUAAAGGCUAAUAAGUGAAAAGGAGAAGCGGGUAUUUCUCCUACCUACUAAGGAUCUUAUAUAGACGUCAUCAAAUAAACAGGGAAAUGGGAUUUUGAUCCCUCGCCAUGAUAGGCUCCACCUUACUCUGACCGCCCAGGUGACAACAUUUACGCACGGGAAAAUUAAAUAUGAUUGGAAAAAGAAGCGAAAAGGGGAAAAGAAAACCCAUCAAUGAGAGCCCGAGAACACUUACUUCUCCCUCUGCAGGGGUUGGUGAAUAGGAAGAGGAAAAGAAAAAACGCUUAUGCUUAGAAAAGCAAAAAAGGUGGGAUUUUUAAUGGCUUAGAAGAAGAGGGAAACAAAGCUUCUUCCUCUACAAUUUCUCCUCAGCUUGAGAGAAAGAGAUAAGAGUAAAAGAGGAGGGAUUCGCUUUUCAAAUCUCUCUCUCUCUCUCUCUCUCUCUAAAUAUUUGUUUAUUUAAAUAAAAUAAUAAGGUGGUUUCUUUAAAAAAUGGUGUUUAUUUUUAAAAUAUUUCCUUAUAUAGGCAAUGAGUAGCAACGUUCCACUAUCCACAAAUGGUAAAACGAUGACCAAUCCAUUUGGCCGAGAAGAGAGAGAAAGAGAGAGAGAGAGAGAGAGAGAGAGAGAGAGAGAGUUCGCAUGUUGGGAUUAUGCGACACGGACGUUUCAUCUUAGACGUGUCCCGAAAUUACGUAUCAGCCCCCGCACAACUCCACUAUUAAACCAGGAACUAUAACGGGGUUGAGGGAUCCGCGUCGAAGGGUAGUUUAGUAAUUUUGCGCCUGAUCCGGGUCCAAGGGUGACGUAGGCGCCUAUUAAAGUCGUACGACGAUCUCGCCCUAAUUUUGGGGGGAAAUCGAAACGGGCUUGCGAAAGAAGCCCCCGGGUUUGCGGAAAUUUACCGGAAUGGGACAAUCGCUUCUCGUCGAGGGUAUCUCCGUAAUUUAAGCCUCAAAUGUGACCAGUUUCAGUAUCACCUACCCUGCUUUGCGAUUCGAGCCCUGAUUAAAACACCGACUAUUCCUCGGACGAUUUUGUAGCGUUUCUUUUUUUCAAAAAAACAAAAUUAAAUUUGGGGUAUAUUAUUAUCUCACACAUUUUUGCUUUAUUAUUUUGUAAUUCCGAAAAAAUUACUUAAUUAUUUUAUAAUUUAGGACUUUUUUAUUUUUCAUCUUACGAUUCAAAAAGUUAUAUUUCAUUACAGUUUUAUUUUUAUUUAAUUAUAGAAAUCUAUCGUUAAAAAGGAUGCAAUUAAUUAUAUGACUUUUUAAAAAAUAUUAUACUAUUCUAUUUUACCGAAUAAUUUUAGUUUAAAAAAUAGCAAAAUAUAACUUUCUGAAUCAUAGAAUAUAAUAAAAAGUACGCCAAAUCGUAGCGGAACAAAUUGAACUUUAUCAUUUUACUUUGGUUAAUUGCAUUACUCUUUCUCUAACUUUUUUUGUUUUUUAUUUCCAUCCUUGUUAUUUUUUGUUUAAAUCAGAUGCGUGAUUUUUAGGAUUAACCAUACUAUUAGUUUCUCAUUGGUCACUGACCUCUUUGCCCAUUAUCCCAUAUCGAGUCUAUCACGUCAAGCUAAAUUUCACCUCCUUUAAUAUCAUCCUUCAUAUCUGUAAUUUUUCGAUUUUACGCAUUUUGUUAUUGUAUCUUUUAAAGUAUUCGAUAUUGUAGGAUUAAGUUGGACGUGCAGCUAAAUUCUUUCAAAAGUUGAAAAGUUGAUGUUGGAUUUAUUGGAGAUUAUCAAAUCAUGAUCAUGAGCUACUAAAUAGAUAGAAUUUUAUUAAAGUUAGCAUACUCUAUUUGGUAAAAUAAAAAAAAUUAAAUGGUUGGAGCUAAAUUAUAAUAAAAUAUCAAAAUUAGAGAAAAAAAAUCAGAUAAAGUUUAGGGACAAAGGAGCAAUCAAAAUUUUUUUUUUUUCACCAAUGUAAAAAAAUUAAAAUAAAAUAUGGGGUUCUCGCCCGUUGAAAUUACGGGAGUGCCCCUAUUUGAAGUUCCCGCUAAGAUCCCGAAUCUAUUUAAAAUUUUGAAACAAGGUAACGGAAGAUUCCGACAGGGUGAGGGGUUUAUUCGUCCGAGUUUGACCAAAAUGCCACCGUGAGCUAUUACUAACCCACGCUCAAAUCUGAAAGAGUUGGGAGGGCAUUUGAGUAAUUUGAUAAAUUUUUAAAUAAAAUAAUGUGAAAAUUUUGUGUAGAAUGGGGACAGGAGAAGAACCAAAAUCAUUUUGGACUCGGAUCUAGAUGCGAGAUUUUGGGACUUAACCCGACAAUGCGGUUAAUUUUUUUUCCCCUUUUUUUUUUUUUUUUUUUUUUUUUUUUUUUUUGUCGACGACGGAUUGGUUAUUAUUAUGGUUGCAAAUGGUGUUCAAAAUUAUUGCAUACACCAGGCCUAUAAAUAUAUCCGAUAUACAGCUUUCUCAAAGUACAAGGGAUGAGAUGUCAAAAUCAAAAUCUUAUUUAUUAUAUUUUUUUCUACAAUAUUUAGCAUUUUCGACAUCAUUUUCUUAUAAAUUAAAUAAUGCAUUUUCUUCACAGUAAUUGAUUUUUGGGAUUUUGCUUGAUACUUUAGUUAUAGGUUUUCAAAGUUUGUGAUAUUUUGUUCAUAUGUAGUAUAAACCAUAUCGUUGUUAUUGGGUUUUAAUUUUAGAAUUUUACGAGUCAAAAAAAGGAUGGUACGGUGCAUGAGACGUGUGGAUACACCAGAUGCAGCUAAUAAUUUUUUGAGAGACAUGGUGAUUUGUUAAUGUGAUAGCGUGCAAUAGUUGUAGGCUUGGUUAAGUUGAGAAUGUUUCCAUGCGUACGUAAUUGGUGUGAUCUUUGUAAAACGUUGUUGCUAUGGAUUGAGCUAGCAAAAUAAUGCAUUCACAUGAUCUGUUCUAUUAAAUGAGUGUCUCUGUGUGUAAUGUGCGCGUUUUUUUUUUUUUUUUUUUUUUUUUUUUUUCUAAGUUCUCAAUUUGCUUGCUAAUAUAAAAAAAUUAAAAUAAAGUAUUCGACAAAUAAAAUAUUUUAAAAGUUUUGGUAUAUUGAAAAAGUCAAAGCAAACUUUAUUAUGGUCAAGAGGUAUUAGUAUAAUUUUUUGGGAAAACUUCAAAUACCUACCAUGUGGUUUCAUACUUUUUCACUUCAAUACUCUGUGGUUUAAAGUGUAUCAAGUUAGUACCCUAUGGUUUCGCACUUUCUCACUUUAGUACUCUGUGGUUUAAAGUGUAUCAAGCUAGUACCCUGUGGUUUUUCACUUUCUCACUUUAGUACCAUGUGGUUUAAUAUUUCGUUAAAUUAUAUACCCUGAAAUAGAUAAUAAAAAGAGAAAAUUGAAACCACAGGGUACUAACUUGAUACAAAAAUAAAAUUACAGAGUACUAACUUGAUACAAAAAUGAAACUACAGAGUACUAACUUGAUACACUUUAAACCACACGGUAUUAAGGUGAUAAAGUACAAACCACAUGGUACUAACUUGAUACACUUUAAACGACAUGGUACUAAAGUGAGAAAGUGCGAAACCACGGAAAGAUAUUUGAAGUUUUCCUUAAUUUUUUUUUAAGAGAUAAGUGCCAAUACACCCUUCAAAACUUCAAAAAUAUUUCAUUUAUUCAUACUUUUUUUUUCUUUCUAAUAUACCCCCUCAUAUAUUCCUCCGUUAUUCUAAAAUACCUCUGCAGUUACCACCAGUUAAGUUAAUUGGAUUAAAUAAUAUUCCUCUAUUCAAAUAAUAUUUUUGUAGAACAUCUAGCUGGAUUUAAAUGGCUCUAACAACAUUUUCUUUGGAGGUAAGAGAACUCAAAAUCUCAAUGCUUUUCCUAUCGAACUAAAGAUAUUUCUAAAUGAAUCCAGUUAGGACUACAUAGACCUUCGUCCUCCUAAAUCGUUUUAGAUGAUCGAAAUUUUAAAUCGAUAAUCGGAACUAUUAAAAUUGAUCUAAAAUAUUUAAAGUGUUCAGAAACUAAAUUCUAUGAAUUUUAAAAAUUAUUUACAUAGUAAUUAAACAAAGAAUCACAAAAUCGAGAGUUUUUUUACGACCUUUAUGAGCCGUUUGUUUAUUUAACAGUAGCGAACAAUCCAAACAGUUUUAAUUUUUGAGAGAAAAUACUUUAUAAUAUUUAGAUAACGUUUGAUAACUCCGAUCAUGAAUUGAAAGAGUUUAACAUCUAUUUUCACAAAAUUAUUCAUUUUUGACCGUUCAUUUUUUGACUUUUCAAUGAAGUUGAUAAUGAAUUUUAAAGUUUAUAAAAUUUAGUUUCUAAACGUUAUAAAUACUCUCGAUUAAUUUUAACAGUUCCGAUCAUCGAUUUUGAAUUCCUAUCAUCUAAUAUAAUUUAGGAGGACGAAGACCUCCAUUUUUCUAAAAGGAUAAUAACUGUACACUUUCUAAAUCACCCUAACAAAA